rnacentral:lncRNA from 1 species
CUCCAGAUCUGACCAUCCCGCUCCAACUGAUGCACCGAAGUCACCGAUCGGUAAUUCCGGAGACGGUGUUCACCUCCGAUGAUACUGAACCCGAUGACGUGUCUCUCGUCGUCGUGAAUAUCGAGUCUCUCCGUACUUGUAUCCGCUGGUAAGCCUGAUAUUACAUUAACCUCUCUUGUACAACCUAACUUCAUUGUGAAUCCUUCACUCACCGUACAGCUCUUGAUGAAGUGCUUGUAACUUUGAGGCUGGUCGAACCUUCGUACGAUGGACCAGACCGCCUCUGAUGGUGCCUGAACACGCUGAGCAAGUAAGGAGGAGCACCGGCCGCGGGUGAGUUUGUAGAUGUGAAACUCUGCUACUAAGUCCUUCAACUCGUCGAACUCUUCCUGAGUGAGGCCGGAGGGCAGUGCGGAGAGAUGGUGAGUUGUGAGAUAAGUUUCUUCGGAGUUUGAGUUUGGUUGGAGCUGCUGCUCCGUGGACGCGGCAGAGGCUUCCCCGUCGAGCUCGCCACCGUCGGCUUUCUCCAUGGUUCUUUCCCCGAAAAUGUUCGAUAGGUUUGUGGGAAAUAUAAAGAUGAGUGAAAUGAGGAGAAAUUGCCUGGGGACCUCUCCCCCUUUAUAUUUCGUUUAUCCUUUGUCUCUUUGUUAUUUUAGUGCUAAGGAAAGAAUGGUUUGUUAUAUAUAUACAUAUAGAUAUAUAGAUAGAUUAUGAGUUAGAUGGUUUAUUUUUACUUAAGGAAAAUUUGACUUGGGUUUAGUGUUAUUAAGGUCGAGAUUGGCUUUGGACCAAGUUAGCCUCUCUCUAGCUAUAAAUACAUGUGAGUUUGAAUUAUGUACGAAAUAUAUGAUUACGACUGUGUCGAGGUUGAUUAGGCUAGUUUGGCUUUGGGCCAAGCUAGCUUUCUCUCUAAGCUAAUUUCAUCCUCCAACUAUGUUAGCUUGCAUUUAUUGUUAUCUCCUAAUUGAUUCUUUUUUGGCAUUGAUUUUAUCUUUGUUUUUUAAUACAACAAUUGUAAAGACAAAAUAUCGAUUUUAAAAGAAUGACAUGUCAAUAUGGUUGAACUAGAUUUAAUUUGAAUUAAUUUACUUAAAGAUAAUAAAAAUAAUUUUGAAAUUUGAGGUUUUUCUUUGGUGUAAUAUAUGUGUGAAUAUUAAUUUUUUUUUAAAAAGAAAUUUUAGUUGGAAAUUAGUUGUGAGUUAAUUAUUGAUGUAAUUUAAAUUUUACCCACUUUCUAUUUAAUUUUUUGGACUUUAUCUUUUUGUUAUAUUAAUUGCUUUGAUAUAAUAACCAUGUUGAUUUGAGGAUCAAUUAUUCUUCCUUUAUUUAUUUUAAAAAAGUUUAGAACGAUAUGAUUUCUAGUUACAUUUUAAAAAGUGUACUAUGUAAAUAUAUUUUCAACAUUUAGGGUCAAAAGUUUUAAUAUUAUAAAAUUAAAAUUGUGAGUAUUUGAUCUUUUCUAUGUCGACUUAAAGUAAGUAUGGUGAAUCAAGACUAAGUAAGUAUGGCGAAUCAAGACUGAGGUUGCACGUUAAAAUAAAAUAAACACAAAAAUUUGCAUGAGUCAUCCACUCUAGACAUAGAAAAUUUGAUUAAAAGUCUUAGAAAAAAAAGAAUAUUUCAAUAGUUUCAUCAAGUAAAAGAAUAUAAUAGGGAGAAGUAGAAUGCCAGAGCUUAUCCAGCUAAUGAGAUAUACUAUUGAGUUUUGUGGAUGAACAAUCCUUAAUUCUUUUUCUUUAAAACUUUUGGUGCAAUUUGUUGUUUUAAAGUCAAAAGAUUAAUAAGUAAAUAGCUUUUUGUUUUCAUACAAACAUGAAGCAUCCAACUCAAUUAUAUGAUUGGUUAGCAGCCAUCACCAAUAUCUCCUCUUUCUUCUUUAGAAUUUCCCCUUUGAGUACCCCAUCACUAUCUCUUCUUCUUUAUUGAGUAUAACAACUUAUAAAAUUUCUCAUAUUCAGUAGAGAAUCAAACUCAAGAAUCCAUCCUCGACCCUAUAUAGUCUUGUUGAUACCUCUAAAUCUUAGCCUACCAAUGCUAAUAGUAAUUCAACUUAGAAUAUCUUUGCUUUAGUAGGGUUGGAAGGUUUCAUCGCUUUCAAAGUUAUUUCUAAACAUCUAGAAAAAGAAAAAAAAUCAUGUUAUGAAGUUUAUCCAUGAACCAAUGUGUUAAGGAAAGAGAGAUUUCUCUCCCAUCAUAGAAAAGGAAAUAAUCAAAGCCUUCUAUGAAUUUAAAUGGAUCUCCUUUUUUUUUGUUUCCUUUUUCUUUCUUUGAGAAGGGAAAUAAAAUGAAGAAUGUUAAUGUUCAAUCAAAUAGUGGAAGGAAGAUAUAACUCAAGAAGGGAUUCAAUCAUAAUCAUCCCAAGCUUGAUCUGGUGAUCUCAUAAGCCAGAAAACAAGCAGCAUUUGCAGGUACACUCCGGGCCAUGGCAGGACCAAAACCUUUGUAUAGUCCUUUAACUCCUUCCGACGCUAGGAUUUUUCUAAAGGCAUCCAUGGAACCCGAGUACUUUGGGUUUUUGUAAUCAUCUACUUGAAGUACACUCUUGACAACAUCAGUUGGAUAGACGGAGAACCAAAAGGUACCUCCAGCCAAUCCUCCAGCCACGAUCAGUGAGCCUCUUCCGAGGUUUGAAGUGUCUGGCCCGCCUGCAAACUUCUGCUUUAGCAACUCAUACACACCAAACAUGGCAGCAUUUCCGGGUACUUCACGGGCUAGAGUAGGAGCCAAUCCCUUGAAGAGACCCCUUGCACCGCCUUCUGAUUUGAGAACGUGCCGGGCAACAUCCAUUGGCCCUCCAUACUUCACUGUUAAGCCAGCUGAACCGGAUUGUCCCAAUGCACUUUGAGCUUGCAAUCUGCAACCAUAACGACAGCAGACAUAUUAGUGGUCAUAUUUGAGCUUACAUAAUAAUCAAUUCCUCUCUAAAUAACAAAACUAUACAUGUUUUGUUUAGAAUCAAUAUUUGAUAUCAGUAUUAUCUCAUUAACAUUAUAACUCCUCCAGGAUACAAAAGCGCGGGGUGGUAAGAGAAUUUGAACAGGACCAACAUAACGAACCUGCACUUGAUUAAUUCAGUAGGGCAAGCGAGAAAGGACACAGCAAGUCCAGCCCCAGCUCCACAAAUCACCUGCUGAUUGACAGUUAGGGGUACACCAGGUUGAGACCUUAACAAUGUUUCCAUUUGUCCUCUUACUGAAAAGAGAACGGCAUUGAAGGCUGCAACAGUUGCGAGUGGAGCUCCCAUACCCUUGUACAGCCCACGAGGGCCUUCAGCUGCUAGAGUUUGCUUGACAGCAUCCAUGGCACCAGAGAACUUAGGAAGCUGGCCGGGAAGUGGAACAGGCUGGCUUUGCAGCUUGACCUUUAUAGUAUCGAACGGGUGUCCACAUAUCAACUGUGCUGCUCCUCCGACAGUCCCGGCAGUGAGGUCCUUGGCCACGUCUCCCAUCGUACAAAUUCAAUGUAAAAAGUGUGGAGACCUAUUAUGGGAAGGAAUGACAAUGGAAUUCUCUGAGUCUUUUGAAUUGAUGAAUCUGAAGCAUAAGGUAUAUGAGAGAUCCAAACAAACGAGCAAUACAAGAAAAAGAUAUUUCAUCAAUAGAUGGACCCACGAGACAACCCUUCACCAAUAGAUCCUUCAAUCACAAAACACCCUCGCCCAAUUAUAUAGAAUUCUGGAGAGCAAAUGCAGCACCGUAUCUAACUUCUACAUGGUCCAACAAAGACUCACUGACUACCACAAAUAUUCAGUUUCAAGCAUACUUGUGUUAUGUCAAUACGAUGGCUGUGGUAUUGGAGAAAGAUCAUAGAUGCCUGUUUCAGGAUGGUAUAGACCAGAUUAUGCUUCAGAAAAUACUAUCCGUCGCCAUUUAUGCCGACUGCUUCCUCUAGGCUCAAGGUAAUUCUAGUAAUCAAAAUUCCCAGCAAAUUUUCACCUAAAUUUAAAUAGGAUGGAUAUUGACUGCAAGUGUAGACAAGUUUCUACAGAGAUAAGCUUAACAUAAACACUUUAGUUUGGCUAGUAUGUCCAAUACUUGAACACACCAACACUUGUUGGUGUAACAUAUGGAUUAGAUAUGCAUAAACACUUCGUUAAGAUUUUGAGAAAUAAAUCAAACUAAUAUUUCAAGCAUAUAAAAUGAACCAGCUUGAAUUUUCUUCUGGUAUAAAAGUAAUAUUUCUUUGUAAAUGUAUAUUUUGACAAACAUGUCCUUGUUGUGUCCAUGUCCUAGUGUUAGAAAAUGAUACGUUAUAUCGCGUUGUGUUGCAUUGUAUUCAUAUCCGUUCUUCUUAGCUUAUCAAUAGUAAUUGAAAAUUAUCUAAAUGGAAUAUUGUAUGUUUGCAAAUACAAGUGUAAACAACCCAGAGUCGCGAGCACAAGCACAGAGUAGAAAAUCACAUGGAAAGAAAGAAAAGACGAAGCAUAAUCCUAGAAAAUUGAUGUACAGCAUUGACCAUUAAUUGCAUAAAGAAUCAGAUUCAGAUUAGUUCUUUCCACCAAAAAAGAUACAAAGAGCAUGAUUUGUUGCAUUCGUAACUAGUAACUUCAAAAUGCAAACGAGAUAUCCAAAUUGGACCAUGUAAUAAAAGAAGAAAACAUAGCAGACUCAAUAAAUAUAACAAGCAAGAAUCAAGAAGACGGUAAAUUAACCAACAUCAACAAAACUCCCAAACUGAAUGUAAAAGAUAAUCAGGAAACAAGUUGAAUUAAUCAAAUGUGAUCAGAAAAGAAUCAAUCAAUCAGGAAACAAGUUUACAUUCCACAUCAAAAAGAGAGAAAAUCUUACCACAACCAAAAUUUCAGCAACACCCAGAUGCAAAACUUGAAAAUAGAAAUCAAAACUCAAUAGAAUUCAAUGAUGCAAGUAAAAAGUUGGCCUCCCCAGAAUCUGAUAAAUAAAAAGCAAUUAAACCCAAAAAGAACAAAUGGAAAUAUCAAAAUCAGCCCCCCAAAAAAAAGAAAGGGAGGAUAGGAGUGCUCACAAGUGAAUGCUAAAAGUUAGAGGGUGAUUGAUGAUGGGUUAUGGAUGGUGAAGGGGAAACUGCAAGUAAAGAAGAGAAAAUGAAUCAUGUUAAAAAUUGGAGCCACAAAAAGAAGGUGGGUAAGAAAGGGGAUCUUAAAAGGGGAAAAACCCAGAUUAAUGGGAGUGAAUCUGGGCUUCACAUGAUGAAGAAGAGGCAAAUGUGGAUGAGAGAAGCCCAAAGAAGAAGACAAUUCUUCAAAUUUGAAGAAGAAUAGGAAUACCCAUAAAUUCUUUUUCUCAAUCCUAGCCUUUGAUUCUUAUCAUCCACCAAUCUUGAGUUGAAUCCAACGCAUGCUUACGGCGGCACAGAGAGGGAAGGAGAGAAAUGUAAGAAUUUCAUUUGUCGUUCUUAGCUCGUCACCAAUUGUUAUUGGGUUUGGUCGGGAGCCCAACUUGGGAAUCAAAAACUUUAUCAAAAAUGACAAAACUUUAUUUUUAUAUUCUACUUUUUUUUUGGGAACAGUUGAUUUAUAUUUUAACCCUUCCCAAGUUCCAAUUACAAUGAAGUUCAUUCACGUGUGUCAAUCGUAACGAACAGUAAUUAAGAAGAUUUCCCAUUUUCUCAAUUCAAAUCGUAACGAAUAGUAAUUAAGAAGAUUUCCCAUUUUCUCAAUUCAAAUCGUAACGAACAGUAAUUAAGAAAAUUUCCCAUUUGCUCAGUGCAAAUUCAUGGCCUAGAAGAAGAUAGGCAGCCAUGGGAUGGGAGUCUAUGAGGAAGAAAAAAAGAAGAGGAAGGAAAUGAAAAACAACGUGGCACCAUAAGAAUGGGCCACGUGGCUGGCUGUUGAAAUUUACUCUUUUUAAAACAAAAACUAAAACAACAAUUUGAAUUUGACACUUGGGGUUGGAGCCAUUUCAGUUUAGUUGAAGAUUUUUUUUCUUCUUUUGAAAAGUUCAAUCGAUCAUUUGAAAUUCACAACAAUUAAUAAUGGACUCUGUGUUAAGGUUGUGAUUGAUGUUGAAGAGAACUGUAUCUGUGUGUUCAACAAUGGAGAUGGAGUUUGUGUCGAGGUUCAUCAGGAAAAUAAGGUUUAUGUGCCUGAGUUCAUCUUUGAGUACAUUGUGAGUUUAUAAAUAUCAAGAUCUGCCACUGUAUGAGAUCUCAAAUCAACAUCAACAUUUUCGACAUAGCCUCCAAAAUUUAUUUGAGUUCAAAGGGUAAACUAUUUUAAUUUUAAUUUGGAAAGAAAACAGCAAAACUGUAAAAUAUUAGGAAGGAAGGUAACAAAUAAGAGAAGAAAAGAUGGGCCUAGUGGAUAGAGAUAAAAGAGGCCUAUAAUUCAAGUUUUACCCACCAAAAGAAUAAGGCCCAUUAAUAGAAUAAAUAUUUAGAAAAAUCAACAUCCAAAAUUUUCCUUAAUAAAAUUUCAUGCUUUUAUGACCAUUUUAACCAUAUUUUCAUAAAUAUAUAAUAAAUAUCAUGACAUUAUAUCAGAUUUAUGUUCUAUUUUAUAACUUCCAUAAUUAACGUGGAUAUUUAUUAUAUGUUUCUGAAAAUUAAUUUUAUAACUUAAUUUUGUGAUUUAUAUUUACAUUUUCCAUGCUCUUUCAUAUAUAGAAUAUUAUAAUAACACAUAUAUUUUGAUUUUUUUUUUUUAUCAUGUAUGGAUGAAAUUACAGUAUAUUUGGAUUGUAUUUUAAACUAUUCUUUUAAAUGCAUGUUAGUUUUGUAACUAUUAUAUACCACUCUAGUAUAAUUAUAUUAUCUAAUUUAUUAUAUAUACACACAUGCAUAUUUAUAGUAAUACGUAAGUUGUGACACAUAUAGUUCUAUUAUUUUUUGUCAGUGCAUAUUCUUUUCAUUACUAUUAUUUAUCACUGUAUAUUUUAAAUAUGUUCUUUAAUAUUACCCAAUACAUCUUGCAUAUUUACAAUAAUACGUAAGUCAAAUAUACAGUUAUGUUUUCAGUUUCCGAAGCAUGAAUUAGAUAAUAUACUAUGUACAUUUAAUGUACGAAACAAUCUUUUCAGUUCACACAAUCUGAGAUAACAUUGUCUUGCACAACCAAAAUUUUACUCGUCUGCUUCAGAAGAAAUCCUAAUUUGUUCGGAGUUAAAACUCUAGAUAUUGAUUUUGUUCGAUUUCGGACUAAUAACAAUAUAAUAUGUUCAAUCUACUAAAUAUACCCUACCAUAUUUCGUAUAUGAACAUAAAUCUUUACUUACUGAAAAUAUUUGCUGAAAUAGGUUCUAAAGUUCUCUGCUUCAGCCGGCCAUCGCAAGUCAUCUUCUUUACUUCGAAAAUUUUCACACAAUUUUUUAUUGUUUGCUUCUUUCGUGAAGAAAUGAGAAUGAAAAAUGGAACUUUUAUCGAAGAAUGAAGUUUUGACUAAAAUUUGAAAAUUCCAAAACAGCUCCUUAGAAAUCCUCUUUUCACGGUUUGAUGGUCCGCCUUCCUUAUUUAUUUUUUUAUUUUUAUAUAUGUAAUUACUAAUAAGAUUGAGUGAAUUGGUCAUUUGUGACAUAUUUUUGUGUAAAAUAGAAGUCCGUUAGAACAUUACUGUAAGUUCAUACCUAUUUAGUCCUUAGUAGAUAAAAACCUAGAUAGAAUAUAGAUAUUUGUUUUUAAUUUGUUUAGAGAUUAUAUCACUAUGAUCAUUGCUUUAUUGUAUGGCCAACAUACAAUACCAUAAAAACGAUAUUCAAUUAAAAAACAAAUAUUAGAUUGCGGUCAAAAAUGAAGAAUUUUGUAUUUUGUUUAUCGAGUUUAGAAGCUUAACUAGCUAAUAUCUCACACUUUGUAGUUCAUGAGAAAGUUUUCUUUAAUACGACAAGAAAUGAAGAAUUCGACCUACAAACUUUCAAUUAAUUAACAUAUACUAUGUUAGUUGAGCAACCCUCCUGCACUAGUGUUUGUGUGAAGAUGACAUCGAAUAAUUAAUGAAAUUCUAAAUUGAAAGUAGAUAAUAAUAUUUAUAUAAAAUGUUUGUCAUUGAUAAGUACAAAUUUAAUUAAUAUUUUCGAAUGACAAACAAAUAUAUAGUUUUUUCCUUUUCCUUGGGAGGCAGAGAAUUUAAUUAAAGUCCAACAAAUUGGAAUGGACAAUGAUAGGAAUACAUGAAUUGAUUUUGUUGAAACAUAUCUAUUUUCUAUAUAUAUGUUAACUGACAAUCAGACAAAUUUAAGUAUUUCCUUUAGAAGACAUUGAAAAUCUAAUAUUCCAAAAAUAUUUUGCAUGGAUAAUAACUAUAUAUAUAAAAGGAUAUAAUUGAUUGUUGUUGAAGAGAAGCAAAUUAAAUUAAAUAUCAAUUUUCUAUUUGCAAGAUAUGGAUUAUUAUUGUAAAGCAGUAUGGUUGGUGAUAGUGAUUUUUGUUUGCUUAAAUUGUAAAUGCAGUGAAGCCUCUAACUCAAAACUUUCAAGAGAAGAAGAAUUGGAGAUUGAAGAACAUCUCAAACUUCUCAACAAGCCCUCCAUCAAAACAUAUAAGGUAGUAUAUGUACAUAUUACUUUAAAGUUUUAAGUCUACUAGUAGAUACACCCGAGCAUGUUCUUAUCAGGUAAGCAUCUUCUUACUUUGAUAUCAAUCUUAAGCAAUCAAAAGGAUUAAGAUGUAUAGUCACGUGGCGAUUUAAUUUAAUUUGUUUUCAUUAUUUGUAGAUCUAAUGUUAAAUACAUAUUAAAAAAUUUAAUUACCUUCGUAAGAAAGUAAUAUUCAUUAUUUAUUUGUAAUAUGUGGGGUGACAUGAAAUAUUUUGGUUAAGAUUAUCAUGCUUUUUAGGGUUAACUAAACUAUGUUUAAAUUGGUUACUUUAGCCUCAAUUAAAGAUUUAAGUUUGUAGUAAAGAAUUUGUUUUAGUACACGAAUUUGAACGAUUAUAGUUACUAAUACAAUCAUAUAUAUCACUUGAAUUAAUUCAAAGUUAAUAAUUAUUUGGUUAAAUUUUAAUUAUGUUCCAUUUUUAUUUGCUUCCAUACAACAUUUAAACGAUGUAAGGAAGAAAAUUUAUGCCCUAGUAAUUAUUGUUUGCAUACUCUCCAUCUCCUUGAAUUUGAGAUUUGAUCUCUCACUGUCUGUAAUCAUUUUUCUAAUGAUGAUGAUGUUUAAAAGGCAAGAGGGAUCAAAGGGUGCAUCGAGAUAUCUAACUAGGUUAACAUCUCUUUAGCAUCCUUAAUUAUCACGUUUCAAGACAUCUCGAUUAUGUUGACGCAUCUCUAGACGAGCUAGGGCUUCCCUCUAGUUUGUCUUGUACUCUUCAUUUUUUUAUUCCCAUAAUUAUCUAAAAAGAACAUCAAAUUUAUAUUUGUGUGGACUUUGAUAUUUUGAAUUUUUAGACCAAGGAAGGAGAUAUCAUUGACUGUGUCGACAUCAAUAAACAACCAGCCCUCGAUCACCCUUUAUUGAAAAAUCACAAAGUUCAGGUACAUACUUAUAUUAUGAUGUAAUUUUCAUACUAUCAAUGUUGAUUUUGUAUUAUUUAAAACCAUAUUCAAACUUAUUUUCAAAACGAUAAAAUUAAUUUUAUCGUUUUCACAAUCUCUCUAAACAUAUACCUUUAAAAUGUAACAAAUAAUAUGGUAUACACUAAUCACUCACAUGAUCUUUUAUCAUUCCACAAUCAAUUUCGAUCAUGAUAUAAUUCACACACAUUAUAAAAAUGCAAAGCCAAACAUGUGUUAGAUUGAUUUUCCACUGCAUAAUAUAAAAACAUGUUACAUAUAGAUAUAACAAUUAAGCAUAAAGUAUUAAUAGAUAUAACACAAUGCUAAAAAGAACUACAAGUGGAAAUAAAAAAAAAAGUUUAUCAACAAAACUGAUCCAUAAAGUAGCAAUAUAUGUCUCGUUUGCAUUCAAAUUAUAUAAUAUGGUUUUUUUUUCUUCACUUUCCUUUCUGUGAUAGACUCUACCAAGUGGAUAUGUAUCUAAAUUGUUCAAGAAGGAUUCAUCUCAAGCAAACAAUGGGAUAUCGACACUCCCAAGUAACAACAAUAAUGGAGAAGAAGGUUGUCCUAAUGGAUUUGUUCCAAUUAGAAGAACAUUAAAAAAAGAUCUAAUUAGGUUAAAAUCUCUAUCAUCCAACAACAAAAACCAACAAUCAUCAAUGAACCCACAAGAUGAUCAAUCUGAUGAUUUUUUCGAUGACUCUGUCAAAUUUCCUUACUAUCAAAAUGUAAGUAUCGACUUUUAAUUUCAUGUAUGAAUCGUUGUUUUUGUUUUUUUUUUUUGUUAAAUUUUAUAUAAAAAGAUAUCUAGUUUAAAAAAUAACCUAUAUAUACUUUUGAAAGUUAUUAUAAUAUAUAUUACCCUAGACCUUUCAAAAUCAUACCCAUGGGAGUACAAAAAAGUUUUUAGAAUUAAUGUUAUAAAUAUGUACUAUUCUUUUAGACUCACUUCACAUCGUUUAGGUUUGCCUGACGAGAUUUUGUUACAAUGUAACAUUGAUCUAAAUUAUAUCAUUAUUAUGGAUAAGGUGGUUUCUCAUUCUUUGGAGAAGGGUACUGAGAAAUACUAUGGAACUAAGUCAUACAUGUCUGUGUACAAUGUGAGUUUGAGUUUCGAUCAAUCUUCAUCGACUAACAUAUGGAUUGUUGGUGGCCCUGUUGACUCUCUUGGUGUACUCAUGACUGGCUGGCUGGUAAAAUUUAAAACCCCUUUAGUCUUUUUAUUUCUUUGUAAAAUUUCUAUGUAAAAACAAAAUACUCACAUUGCCAAAUUGAUUUUGAUCAAACGUUAUUGCAACACUGAGCUUUUUGAUAUAAUUGGUUGGCUGUUUUAGGUGAAUCCAGAAGUAAAUGGUGAUUUUGUCACUAGAAGCUUUGUAUAUUGGACGGUAAGUGAAUUGAAUUUUUGUUUUGUCCCAUCACAUUUACAUUAUUGUUUGUGUUAUUGAUUUGUGACUGAAUUAAUUUUCAAAGUUUUUUUUAAAAUAAGAAAACUAUAUAAUACACCUUCUUCUAAAUUGAUUUUUUUUUGGGGAUAUUAUUCUACACUUUUCUUAGAAAAUACAUGUAAAAAAAAUUGUUCUCUAGUAUUUAUUUUGUAUCUAAAUUUCAAAAUAUUAUAUUUGAAUUUAAUUAAUAUUUAGUUUCAAAGUUUCAAUAAUAUAUUACACAUUAACUACUGUUGAGUUUUAUUUAGUUCUUACCUUUCAAUAUUGUAACUUUUAUUCUUGAAUUAUUACCAUAUAUUCAUUGUUAGCGUUAACUUUUAGUUAGUUAAUCUAAAAUAAUUAUGUUGUGACAUUGAUUGAAGCAAGUAUUAGUGAAACAGUAUACUUAAAAUUGAGACCAUAGAUUAAAACAAAACUUAAAAUUAAAAACUAUAACAUUUUGAAAUCAAGAGGAAUCAAAUGAAAACAGUUAGACUAAUCGACAUAGAUUGACAUAGAGACCGAAAAUGUAUUUUUCCCCCUUAUAUAUAUAUACAUAAUAAUUAUUCAAAUCUCAUGUGUUAGUUUUAUAAAUUCAAUAUAUAUGAAAGGAGUAAAAGAGAUUUGAACCUUCGAUGUUACAAAGACGAGAGUAUAUUCAUAUCAAAUACACCGUUAAAUUAUGUCCACUUUUGAUAAUAAUAUCUUUUGCAUAUGCUUAGAUUUCAAAAUUGUAACAGGCUGACGGAGGUACUACGACAGGAUGUUAUAAUAUGUAUUGUCAAGGCUUCGUACAAGUAAAUCCAAGUCAUCAUGUAGGCGCUCCUCUUCUUCCAACCUCCACGUAUGAAGGACAACAAUAUGACUAUCAGUUCACCAUCAUUCAAGUAAUUCUCAAACAAGACCUUAAUUACAUAUGAAUCAUGCUAGCUAUUAUAUUUAUUGAUGAAUGAGUUAUAUGUUAAAUUUUGAAAUGUAGAUCGAAGGGAAUUGGUGGGUUCUGGUAGGUGAAAAUCUGGGAUUAGGAUAUUGGCCAAAGGAGUUGAUUCAAAAUCUAGUUGAUGGGGCAGAUCAAAUAGCAUGGGGAGGCAUUGCACAGCCAUCAAUAGAUGGAGUGAGCCCUAUGUUGGGGAGUGGACAUAAGCCAAAUGAAAAUGGUGAUUAUAAUGAAGGUUGUUACAUAAGAAACAUUCAAAUCAUAUCAGGUGCAGCAACAAAUACUUAUGUACUGCCAACAUGGGAUAACACACUGAGUUAUUCAAGUAACACUAGUUGUUAUGAUUUGAACCCUAAUGUGAAUUGUGGUUAUGAUAUGAUGGAAUAUUGCUUCACCUUUGGAGGACCCGGUGGACCUAAUUGUGAAGCCACCAUCUUUUAAUUACUUUCUUUAAUUUAUUCAAUCACUUCUUGUUGUCGUUCUGGCUUUAUGGAGGAUUAUUGCUUGUGUAUUAUAUAUAAAACAAAUCAUCCUUUGUGUGGAAUAAAUUUUGAGGUAUUGUCAUCUUUUUCUAUUGUUUUUCUUUUCUCUAUCAUUGUAUUGUAAGGAUAUGUUUGAGAGAAUUACUUUUACCAUUUAAUUAAAACUUUAUAUGAAAUGAUGUGUUUUUAAUAUCAAUUUAGAAACUAAUUUUGAUGAUAUGAUUUUUUUUAUUUAAAAAAGAAUGUAAAAUUUAAAAUUAAAUUUAUUUUGAGUGAUUUAAAUUCUAAAAAUGAGAAAAGUAAUUUUUACCUAUUUAAAUCAUGAUUUCAAAACUAUGUAGAUAAAAACGAAACAAAUAAAAAAUAUUGAGUCUUUGGUAUAUUUUUUUUAUAUAUACUUUCAUAAUUUUGCCCUCCUUUGAUGAAUUGGUAUUUUUUUAUAAAAGAAAUUAAGUUUAUGAAAAGAAGAUUAAAACUAUUUAUGAAAUAUAAAAAAAAAAAAAUCAAAUGAGCUAUAAAGAAUUUAAUUAUUUUAGUUCCUUGUAAAUAGUUUUAAUUUCUUUAUUAUAUUUAUUAGAGGUAAAAACUACUCAUUCGUCUAUAAAUUUAGUUGUUUAAUGUCUAAUUAAAAAAAUUAAAUAAUUUGAAAAUUAGGAAAAUGAUUACACAUAUGAUAACCAUUUGAUUUUAAUUGACUUUUAAAAAAUUAAACUUCCACAUAUGAACUAUAUGUUUUUUUUUUUAUCUGAAAAAAUUUUAAAACUCAACUAAUUUAAACUGAAAUGAAACUAUUUACAAAAUAUCGUAAACAAAAUCUUAAUAGGCUACAGAGAAUUUGAUACAUGCUUCACAAACCAAUAUGAAUUUUUUCAAUAAGUAAGUCACCCAUCAUAGAAUUAUUUCAGGCUAAGCUCAAACCACUAAAAAAGAAAGUAUACCUUGUUCGUAUAUGUAAUAAUUUUUUAUAUAAUUUUUUUAAAUAUUUUUUAAUCUUACUUUCAAGUUAUCAUAAUUCAUCCCAUUUAAAUGUGGUAUCUGUUCAUCCAUGUCUCCUUUUAAACUCAGGACAUUUAAUUUAUAUUUGAUUAAUGUUUUGGAUAUACGGAUGCUAUAUUUGGCCGAUACUUGAUGAAAAUAAAUAUAUUUCUUAUUUGUAAGCACAAAUUUAAUAUUUUUCAUUAACAAAAUCAGUAGAAGUUGUUUUUCCUUUUAUUGGGAGCAUAAAAUUAAAAGUCUAACAAUUAAUUUGCAUGGACAAUGAUAGAAAAAGAUGAAGAAAUUAAACAAAUCUAUUUUCUAUUUGAAGAAACUAUAUAUUUGUUAAAUGGAUAUAUGAUCACACAAAAUAGAGUAUUUCCUUUAGAAGGCAAACAAAUUAAUUAUAACGUACUCCCAACAAUAAUACAUUUUUGCAUGAUUUAAUAAUUAUGAUAUAAAAAGAAGAAAACUAAAACAAAUCAAUUUGUAUUAUUAAUUACAAGAUGGAUUAUUAUUAUUCUAAAGCAACAUGUUUGGUGAUAGUGUUCUUUGUUUGUUUCAAUUGCAAAUUCAAUCAUGCCUCUAACCCUAAUCUUUCAAGAGAAGAAGACUUGGAGAUUGAAAGACAACUCAAACUUCUCAAUAAACCAUUCAUCAAAACAUACAAGGUAAGCUAUAUAUACCUACAUACACUCUUAAUUGAAAUCUUGAAUCGAGAUUCGAUAAUUUCAUUAUACUUUAUAUAUUAAUUAAAAUUCUUUUUGUUUUCGAUUAUGCACAAGUGAAGAUUAAUAAUAAAUAAUUUAAGAGAAAUGAACUACGAUGUUUCUUGCUUAAUAGACGAAGGAAGGAGAUAUCAUUGAUUGUGUCGACAUCAACAAACAACCUGCCCUCGAUCAUCCUUUACUAAAGAAUCACAAAGUUCAGGUACAUACUCGUAUUUGUGAUAUCUGUUAUAUUUCGUGUUUUUCUAUUUUCAAUUUCAACUUUCAUUACAUUUUAAUUAGGAAAAUUUCCAGAAGAAAAAAAAGAACAAAGAAAAAUUUUGUUUACAAUGUUUUUAGGGAAAUUCUUAUAGAUAGAAAAAAAAUUGAAACUAUUUACCUAACAUACCUAUAAAAAACUAAAAUGGGGUGAGAAGAAUUUGAUUGAUUUUGGUGUGUUUUAUAAAUAGUUUUAAUUUUUUUUGUUUUUUUUUUCUAUUUUUGAAAAAAAAUCCUUUUAAUAUGUUUGGAGAGAUCUUGAAAUAGUUAAAGUCAUUAAUAUUAUAUUAAAAAAAAAUAAAACAUGAUUUUGAUUAUUUUAAUUAAACAGUUAAAUUAAAUUUUGAAAAGUAAAAAGCAUGAUUUAGAAUAAUUUUUAAUGGAGCAAGAUUAAAAGUGAUUUUUCAGAAUUACUCUCAGGUAUCAAUCAUGUAUUCUCUAUACAAAUUAAAGAAAUUGAUUAACAAUAUUAUUCAGUAUUGACAAAUAGAAAAUGUAAUUAGGUCACUAAAACCAUCUUUUUAAAGUUAAAAUCUUUAUAUAUAUAUAAUUGUUUAGACUAUCAUUUACGUUUUAGAAAUGUUUUCAAAAACUAAACCAAAAUUUUAUAACUAGAAAAAGUAAUUUAUUGAAAUUUGUUUUAAUUUUUAAAAUGGACUAAAAAUUCAAUUAUUUUACUUAAGAAAAAUGCAAAAUAUUGUAAGAAAAUAGAGAGAAAUUAGUUUUAAUUUUUAAAAAUCAAAGUCCUAGUUUUUUGUUUUAAAAAAUUGUCUUUAUUUUUAAAAAAAUUACGUCUUUCUUAAUGAGACAUUUGAAUUUUUAACCUAAUAUGAAAACAAAAUUAAAUUUUUGAAAAAAAAUGUACAUAAAUUGUUAAAAUAUUGCUAGAAAAUAGAUAAUAAUAAUAAUAAUAAUAAAACUAUAAGCAUAGCAAAUAUUAUGUCUUGAUUUGCAUUCAAAUUAUAUUAUGGUUUUUUUGUCUUAUCAUUUUUGUUUUGUGAUGAUAGACUCUGCCAAGUGAAUUUGUAUCUAAAUUGUUCAAAGAAGAUUCGUCUCAAUCAAACAAUGGGAUACUCACAAGUAAUAACAACAAUGGAGAAGGUUGUCCUGUUGGAUUUGUUCCUAUUAGAAGAACAUUGAAAGAAGAUCUAAUUAGGUUAAAAUCUCUAUCAUCCAACAGCAAAAACCAACAAUCAUCGAUGAAUCCAGAAGAUGAUGAUCUAUCUGGUGAUUCUUUUUACGACGCCGUCAGAUUUCCUUACUAUCAAAAUGUAAGUAUCCGGAUCUUUUAAUUUCUUGUAUGAUUUGUUUCUAUUUUUUUGGCUAAAUUUUAUUUGUAAAGAUACAUACCUUUGAAUUUUAUUCAUGUUUUAAAAGUUACAAUAUUAUUCUUAAUAAUCCUUCAUAUGCUUUUUAAAAUUACUAUCCUUAAAACUAGAUAAUUGUUAGAUAUCGUCACUAAAAGUAAAUAUGUUUGAAAGUACGUACCAUUCUUUUCAAACUUCACAACCCCAUCAAGCGUCUUAGUUACGUCACUUCCAAAUCGUUCUAGGUUUGUAUUUCAAGAAUAGUUUUGAAACGUUGCAACUUCGGAAAGAAUAAUAUCAUUUUUUAAAAAAAGUAAAGAGUAAAGUUUAAGAUAUGUUGUUAUAGGUUAAGUAUGAUGAAGGACUGUGGUUUCAACGGGUUAUUAUUCAAAACUAACCCUAAUCAUCGAAAAGAAUAAUGCAUAUAUAGUAUUUUGUUAUAUAUAUAGUUGCUAACAUUUGUAUAAAUUGUGAUUAUUAUGGAAAGGUUGUUUCUCAUUCGUUGAUAAAAGCACAAUAUUAUCAUGGAGCCAAAGCUCGAAUUGCUGUGCACAAUGUGAGUUUGAGUGACAAUGGUCAAUCUUCUUCGGCUAACAUAUGGGUUCUUGGUGGCUCUGAUGAUUCUCUUAAUGUUCUUAUGGCUGGUUGGCAGGUAUACACAUCUUUCAUUUUCCAUUUUAACUUUGUCAAAUUCUCUUCUUCUUUUGUUCUCUCUAUGCAAUUCAAUAUUGGAACUUUUAUGUGAAUAAGUUAAUUUAUUUGAUAAUUAUUGGGCGUUUUUUAAAGUUAAGUUUAUGAAUUAAUACUGGUUAUAAUUAGAUAAAUUUAAAGUUUUCAAUUUCAAAACUAAUUGAAUAACAAGAGAAAAGUUGUUUAUAUAUAUAUAUAUUUUGUAGGAAUCGGGGAAAAGGUGAGAAAUUCAACUAAACAUUUUUUAGAUCAUAUAUAAAUAAUUUGAUAGGUGUAAGUAUUUACUUUAUUGUGAAAUUUGAGUAAUUUUUUUCAACAAAUUUAGAUUGUCGAGAUUGGAUGAAUCAUAUAAAAAAAGUUAGUAAGAAGAUUUUUAUUAAAAUCUCUUAGCAGUCAUGAUCGAAAGGAGUUUGCAAGAAUAGCAUAAUGAUAUAUGAUAAUAGAGUCCAUGUCACAUACAAUUUUUAAAUUGUAAAAAUGACAAAUUUAAAAGCAGAUUACUGUAUAAGAUUAUCGCCAAUUAUUAGUCAUAUUGACCAAAUUUGCAAUAUGAAAAAAAAAAUGUAAUAUUAACGGUUUCUUUUCUAUUUUUUUUAUCUGACAAUUUUCCAUUUAUUUAAGUUAAUUUACCUUUCAAACAAACAAAAUGGGAAGUCAAAUUUUAAAAAUAAAAAACUAGAAACAUGAUUGUUAUCAAAGGAUGAAAUAAUUACAAUAAUUACAACUUUUUUAUAACUUAUACUACUAAAAUUUAAUGAGGAUUUUCUUUUUUUUGCAUUUUAGGUGAAUCCAGCUGUAAAUGGUGAUAAUCUCCCUCGAACCUUCGUGUAUUGGACGGUAAGUGCACGAAUAUUUUUUUCAUCAUAGUUUCAUUAUUAUUAGUCUAAUCAAAUUGUGACUAUUAUUGAACUAGAAAUUUUGAACCAAUUAUCAAUUGUCUUUGUUUAUCAAAUUAAUGAGAGAGAAAAUAUAAAUAAUUGAGUUUGAGACUAAUUAAAAGUUGGAAUGUGUGAAUACAUAACCUAGCAAAUUCUAACAACGCCUUGUGUUUUUAUCAUGAUUAUUUUGGUCAAAUUAAAAAUUAUUUAUUUGAUCUAAAGUUCAAUUAGACAAAAAAAAUAAAAAAUUAUUAAACCAAAAUGCAAAAUGCUAAUCAUGGAUCAACCAAGCCCAAAACCUUGAAACCCAUUAGAGAGAAUUUUAGAAAUUUUUACUCCAAAAGGCUAGAGAGAAUUCUUCCAACAACCAUAAGAUAUUCUUCGACACAUGUUUGCUCCCUCAAAUCAAGUAUACACAUUUGAAAGUUUUCUUAAAACACAAUUAAUUACAAAUUAUAUAAUAUACAACUUCUUUUUUUCUUUAGGUUUUGUUAGUCAAAUUUUUGCUUCAUCUCUCUAACUCUAAGUUUUGAGUUUAGUUUCUAUUUGGUUACUAAAUUUCAAUAGUAUAUUACAUUAUUACUGUUGUAAUAGGUUGACACAGGUGUUACAACAGGAUGUUACAAUAUGCUAUGUCAAGGAUUCGUGUUGGUAAAUCCAAAUAUUCACGUAGGCAGUAGUAUUCUUCCAGCCUCCAUCUAUCAAGGACAACAAUAUGACUAUCAAUUUAGUAUCGUCCAGGUAAUGCAAUUAUUUUCAAACGAUAGCUCAUACACAUUCAACAUAUUUUCAUUUACAUUAUUUGCAUGAAAAAUGUCGAUAUCAAGAUCUAAAUAGAUGCUAUGGAAAUAUGAAAGUAGUAUAAAAAAUUUGGAGAUUGAUGAAUAGUUUCAAGAAAUCAUUAGAGAAUUUAUAUAUAAAAGAAAAUUUUAAAUUUAACAAAAUUGUAUUUCAUCUUUAUUAAAGUAAUUAAGUUCAAAUUUAUCUAUAAUAUUAAAUUAUAAAUUUAGUUCAUAAACUCAGGAGAGAUUAUAUCUAUUUGAUUCUUAAUUCUUUCUAAAAAUUUUAAGAACAGUUAGAUAAUACAAUUGAAAAUUUAUAGUUCUAAUUAGACACUAUAUUCCAAUUUAUAUCUAGGCUAAUUAAUUUAAUUUAUAUCUUAUCAGGCACAAAAAAUAUAUGUUAAAAGUUAAUAACCUAUUAUUUUAAUCUAAUAUACAUUAUUAGGCUCGUAUUUGUGAUAUUUUGUUCAUAUAGUCACUCAUACGUUUAAAUAUCAAUCCAUUUGCUUCAUUUUGGUGGAUGUUCUUUCAAAAUAUUAAAAUUUUGAUCUUUUGAACUUUUAAGAAUAAUCAUUUUUGAAAAAGAUAUAUAAAAAUAAAGGAAUAAAGUUUUGAACCUUUUUAUGGAAAAUGAAUUCAUUUUUUUUACGUUUCUUCUGAUCUCCUCUAGCUUCUCUCUUUAAAUUAAUCGUUUUUAUGGAAAGAAAUCUUUGGAGCUAGGGUGUGAUUAGUGUAUCAACUUAGUUGAAAUAUUUUGGUACAUCUAUUAACUCCUCACCUCCUACGUAUCUUUCUCUAAAAGAUAAACCAAAAUAAAAAUAUAGAUAUUAAACCAAUAUUCAAAUGAUCUUAAAUUCAUUUUACGUUACCAUAAAUUUUCUAUAAUACAAUUCAAAUGUGUUGACACUAUCUCUCUAUAUAUUAAUAUAGAACCUAUACAGACAUAUCGAAAGAAAUUUAAUAUUGCAAUCAUACGUAAAUUACAUGUAGAGUAAUUAUAACUAGAGAUAGCAAUUUAAGGGAUAAUAAUCAAGUGUAGAACAAUAUAUAUGUAAAAAAAUUCUAUAGCUGAUAGACUACACCGAUAUACAAGUUUAUCAACGAACAAUAUAUGCUAAUAUUUUGAUUCUAAUUGUUGUAUUUUGGUAUUAUUGUCGGUUACACAUGUAUUUGUUUGAUAUGUAGGCUAUAGGGCAUUGGUGGGUUCGAGUAGGUGAUAACCAAGUGGGAUUAGGAUAUUGGCCAAACGAGUUGUUUCCAAAUCUACUUAGGGGGGCAGAUCAAGUUGCAUGGGGAGGCAGUGCACAGCCUACACUAUAUGGUGAUGAAAGCCCUCCAUUGGGAAGUGGGCACAAGCCAAAUGGUAAACCCGAUGAAGCCAUUUUCGUUAGGAACAUACAAUACAUAGCACCUAACUACAUACUCUCAAUACCCACUUUGAACAACACAAUAAAUUAUGUGAGUAACUCUUCCUGUUAUGAUUUGAUCUCUAAUGAGAAUUGUAGUUUUGAUCCCUUCAAAUAUUGCUUCACUUUUGGAGGCCCAGGUGGGCAUGGUUGUGAAGCCUCUACUACUUAAAACAUGUCGUGUUAUGUUAUUGACUAUGUAAUAAAUUUUAAGGUGUAUUCACCUUUUAUUUUUUUCCCCUUCAUUUGGUUUUCCUUGUAGGCUACUGAUUGUCUGUUGUCAAUUAGAAUUGAAUCAAUUUGUUUGCUUUUUUUUUUUUUCUUAAUAUAGUUAGGUUACAUUGUUGUUUCAUGGUUGGUUUUUUUGGAAAUUAAAUUUAUAUUAUAGGUUAUGAUGACGAUUUAAAAUUGGCAUCUAAAUGUUGAUAUAUGUAGUGAUUUUAAAGUCUUUCUUUAACUAUACAUUCAUAUACUUGGGAUAUCUAUUUUAUUCAAAUGUGAUAUUGACGUGGUAAUCAAAUUAAAUCUAAUAACACAAGUCAAAAUUUAAAUAUUAGUUUGUAUAUAUCGAAUAAUUGAAUGUGAAACAAGUCGAUUUGUGACGGAAUAAUUUAGAUGAGAGAGUGUUACCAACUUGAUAGAAUUGUUAUUUCGAAUAAGAAAAUUGUGAAAGUUGAAGCCAAAAACUAGACUCUUGAAAAAAUGGGAGUUAAUUGGAUGAGGUUGUGGUUAGCCAAAGAUGAGGUUGGAUGCAACCAUGAUUGUAUGAUGAAUGGAACAUGGUAGGAGUUAUUUGGGUGAGGAACCAACCUUUUCAACUUCAACAACAAACCUUUAUAUAAUUAAAAUACUCUGGAAUUGAUUAAUUUGACUGGUAGAGAGUUUUGAUUAGGAUAAAUUUUGUAAUUUACAUUGGCUUGGGAGGGUAAAUAAUUGAAGCCAAAUUGAUAGAAGAACAAAAUCAAGAAGAAAACAAAAAGAAAGAAAAGAGAGAAAAAGAAGAAUAAACUAAAACCCUAAAAAACAAAACCCAUUUCGCGGUUCUCUUUCUCUUUCUCCUUCCCAUUUCCCGUGUCUGUUCAGUCGUCACUCGUCACUGAUCGAACAAAGCAAAUACGCAAAUUCACAACACGAAUCACUGAACCCAUCAAUUUCCCAUUUCCAUUCUUCCCUCAACAAUCAACCCAGAACAAGAAGACACACCAAGAACAACCACAACAAGAAGAAAGGGAUCUCCUUUCUUCCCACAUUCCCUUAAUCUGAUUUUGCCCCCCAAAAUGGAUUCACGGGAGAGGUCGAUGCCUUCUGUUCAUCAACAUCAUCAACAAUCAACUCCACCCAACAGGAUGAUCCCCAACAACGCUUCUUAUUCCGCUAAUAUGCCCAAUUCCAACAAUACUUCCCCUUUGAUCAACCCCAAUUCCGCUGCUGCUCAAAUGAUGUCUUCCGCUUCCCGAUUUCCCUUCAACUCCAUGAUGGGUUCCUCUUCUAAGCCUUCCGAAUCUCCCAAUGCAGCUUCUUAUGAUGGAUCGCAGUCUGAAUUGCGCACUGGUGGCUUUAACAUUGAUUCUGGGAAGAAGAAGAGAGGCCGUCCCAGGAAGUAUUCUCCUGAUGGGAAUAUCGCCUUGGGUUUAUCACCAACCCCCAUCACUUCUUCCGCCGUUCCUGCCGAUUCCGCCGGCAUGCACUCCCCAGAUCCUCGCCCUAAGAAGAACAGGGGACGGCCGCCCGGUACAGGGAAGAGGCAAAUGGAUGCUUUGGGUACUUAUCUUUAUGCCUUUCUUCCUUCUUCUUGUUUUUCUUUCUUUAUGCCUUGUGUAAUGGUGUGUUAUCCUGGGGGACAGGGACCGGCGGUGUUGGUUUUACUCCUCAUGUCAUUCUUGUGAAACCAGGAGAGGUAAAGAAAUUUGCUUUCUUUUGUAUAUAUUAUGAUGCUGCUGAAUUUGAUUUGAUGUUAUUCUGUUUUUUUUUUUUAAAAAAUUUAUUUUCUAUUCAAUGGUAUUCAAUUCUUGUAGUCGAUUGCUUGGGCUUCUAUGAGUAAUUCAUUAAAUGAAGUGAGGUGGGAGCUUGUUGAUUUAAGAUUAGAUAUUGAGAUUCUACAACAUUGGCUGAUGGACCUUAACUCCUUUCCUUGAGAAUGUGGUUGUGUAAAUCUGUGUGUUAUAUAUGUAUGUUUCAUUCAUUGAUGUUCCCUGGGGGUGGUAUUUGUUAUCUCUCCCUUGUGGUAGCACUUGUACUGCCAUACAGUUACUCGUCUUGAUAGAAAGAGAAGAAAAGAGAAAGGAACCCAAAUUAGAAAGAUGAGAAAGAAUUUGAGUAGAGUAUAGUUGGUGUUUAAUAAAAGGAAAGAAUGCAUCACAAGGCAAAGAGUUGUGAACCUGUUUUUGUGGAAAAUAGAUAACACAAUCUUUAUUCUUUUCAUAAAAAUGUAAAUGCCUCAAUGUCAUAAGAUCGAUUCUGGUGGUUUACAUUUUCUCUUACUUUGAAGAGUACAAAGCCCCUAAGAAUCCUUCAAUUGUAAGUUUAGAUGUCAAUGAAGUGAAGGUAAGAGAUAAGGAGAGUAAUAUUGUCACGGUUUUGAAUUAGAUGCUUAAAAUUGGGAUUUUUUCCCCCGCAAAUUCCUUCAACACUUUUUUGGGCUUUUGUUUAGUACUUUUGAUAUUUCAGUGGAUAGUUUUUGUUUCCUAUUAAAAGGUUCUCCAACAUUUGAAUGUUUUCUUCAUCCUUAUUCCUACAAAAGGUUUGUGUUAGCAAGUUUCAGUGAUAAUUGAUUCAAAUAAGUAGUGAACUGUGCUGUGAUUUCUAGAACUGGCCAUACUUGCAUUAUUGAGCUAAAUUGGUUGUAGCUGAAUUCAAGAUAAGAACUUUAGCUAUUUCACUCUAUUAUGUGGUCUUAGGAAACUAUUCAAAUAGCUUUGUGAGAACAGAAUUUCCGCAAAAACUGAAACAUAACCCAAUUGUUCUCACUUCUAAAUCUGAUUCAUCAAAUUCCUGUCUAGAUCUAGCUUUUCCUACAAUAACAUCAGAUUUUUUGUUUGUAAAGGAAACCCAUUGGAAUUCUUUUGAUAGAUGCGAAAAAGUUUUUAUAUAUAUGUAUUGUCAAACUGUUGUAUUGUUCAUUUCAAAGUGUAGUUCAUGUUUCUUUUUUGCUUUUGCAUUAAAUUGAAUCCAAUAUUCACCGAUUUGUAAAGUUCAGUGUUGUGAUUUCUCGUCACUUUUAAGAUCUAAUGUUAAUAGUUGAUUGUCCAAAGUCAAAGCCGUUUGCUAAGCCUGGAUUCAGAGUGGAGCUUUGUUAUGAACUGUAAACGUCGAUGGGAGAUCUGUUUUGAUUGAAAUUAGGCUUAAUCAUUAGAAGCUGCUUCUGUGGAGACACUUCAUCACUCAACUGCCUCUUAAAUUGGUGUCUGCAAGAUUUUUUUACAUUUUAGAGUUUAGAAUUUUGUGGUGCAAGGGAGGAGGGUAGUUAAUUAGUUGGAGGGAUUCUGAUUGGUUAGGAAAUCGAAAAAUGUCUAUCCUUCAAGGAGCUUUCAGGAACUUUCUAGUUCAAUUUGGUUUGGUUCUAUUUCUUGGUUUGUUUGGCUAAAUUUGGCUUUUCCAUUUACCAUAGAGAUCAUUCUUACUUGGCACAUCAACAAAGCUAUUUGGCAUCAAAGUACCACAAGAAAGUGAAAUUCUUUCCCUGAUAUCUGACUCUUCAUGAGUUAAGCACUACUGAUAAGAUAUCUUUCGCUUGUGUCGUCCUUAUCACCUACUGGUUUUAUUUUGUGGUAGGAUGUUUUUGAGAAUGCUCCGUUUGUUUGUUUUGGAUGAUAAAUCUAAAUGUAGGGAAAAUCUGUGUAAACUAUUUAGUUUGUUUUGGUUGCAGACUUCCCCUUGUUAAUAUCCACCAUUUGUUCUCUAAGGAGGAACCCCUUUGAAAGAGAACUAAAGCAUUGUGAUUGUGCGUGAUUAAAGUUAUUUGAGCAAAAUAGAAACUGAGAAUUUUUCGAAAAGCAGUAAAAACUGGGAGGGAUAUCUGAGAAGAAACUAAAACUGGGAGUUUCUUCUGGUGUUCUCUGCUUUAGAUUGUAAUCCCUUCUUUUGCUCUUUUAAUGUUUGAAAAAAUGAAUAUUUCUUUAAACGUUUAUCAAAAUUGAUCUGUUGAAGAAAGGCAAGGAAGGUAAGGCCUUCAAGCUUUUUUUGUCGAUCAGCUUUAAAUUUUUUAUGAUUUUAUCUGUAAUACUUAUCAAGUAUGAAGAUCCAUCUUAAGUCGUAACAUAUUGUUUGAUAAUCUAGUAAUGUCAUUUGAAAAAAAUUGCUCUUUUUUAAUUUUUGGAUGGUCGUGAGUGCUUGGGCAAGCUUGCACACGCGUCCACAUUGUUUCGAUGACAAAUUUGAAGAUCUUACCGGAUGCCUUAUUUCCCUCCCCGUUGUUCUUUAUAGGAAUGAAUUUUGUGGUUUCCUCUUACGAAAGCCUAUGGUACUAUCUAGCGGGCUUUAGUUAAUUGAAAUGAUGGUGUUUCACUUUUAAGACUGAUAGGAUCAUUCAUAAAUAUACUUUUUGAAUACAGAAUUUAAAAACAUUUACAAUAAUAAUAUUUUGCAUUUACAAUAAUAUUCUUUUGGGUGUGGUCAGAGAGACAUUCGAGCUAUGAUAGAGGAGUUCCUCCUUCAUCUGCCAUUCAGAGAUAGGUUUGCUGGGUGUGUGCAAUUAUUUGGGAUAUUUGGGGGAAGAGGAGUGAUAGAGAUUUUAGAGGGAAGGAUAGGGAUCCUUGUAAGGUCUGGUCUUUGGUAAGAUUUCAUGUCUCAAUUUGGGUUUUGGUUGCAAAGCUUUUUUGUAAUUAUUCGGUAGGAAACGUCUCCCUCAGUUGGAUCCCUUUCCUUUAGUGAGGUUUUUUUUGGCUUGUUUUUUGUGUGUUCUUUCAUUUUUUUUUCUCAAUGAAACUUGUUGUUUCUAUCAAAAAAAAUAUUUCGGGCAUUUUCUGCUCUUGACCUUUCCUGGUAUAGAGUAGGAUUUAGUUUUCCAUGGUACAGACAUGUGCUAUUGAAUGUGUUUUCAUACUUUACUCCCUUCCUUAAUAUGCAUAUGGAUUUAUAAGUCUGAACCUUAAUCGAUGCCUGUUUCAAAAAGUGGCUUCUCAUUGUUUUGCAGGACAUUGCCUCAAAAGUUAUGGCAUUUUCACAGCAGGGGCCACGGACUGUUUGUAUUCUCUCUGCCCAUGGGGCUGUCUGCAACGUUACCCUUCAACCUGCAUUGUCAUCUGGUAGUGUGUCAUACGAGGCAAGUUCUUAAUUUUCCUGAGUUGACUUUGGAGAACUGUAGCCAGCAAGUGAUGUCGGACUUACUAUUAUUUACUGUACAUUCUAACGCAUCAACUUCCAAAACAUAGAAGGAUCCAUGUGAGAGUUUUGCGCAAGCUUAUGAGAACACACGUCAUUUUCUUGUUUAUUAUUGCUGGUCACCCCUCCUCUACUCUUGAUGUUGGUUUUCCUUUGGAGCGUGAGGGUCACUUUACGUCAAAUGCUUGUACAUUGUAGCUCAGGCUAGCUAUUCCAUUCCUGCAUGUACUAUCUGCCUCUCUUAACCUUCUUGGCGUUUUACCAUCUUUUUUCUGCUUAUUUUCAUUUGUUAAACGUCUGUUUGUUUUGCCUUUCUAUUUAAUAGGGUUACCCUUUGCCCUGUACUAUGGUGAUGAAAGGUAAAGCUCUGGGGUUUUGCAAACAUCCGUAUUUCUAUGAACUAUAUAGAGAAGACAGACAGUUUCUUGUAAACAGUUCCUUGUGAAUUUUUAAAUGGGUUGAUUAUUUCCAAGUGAAAGAAUGGAACGUGGUGAUAACUUAAUUUAUCAGUCCUAAACUUGGAAGUAGCUUGCUCCAAUACAUAGUGAGUCCAUGGAUUUGGUGAUCCCUGACCGGCGGUUCAUGCUUAUCUACAUGGAGGUUAUGGUAGUCUCCUCAAUUUUUAAGAUGCCUGGUGCUAGUACUUGUAAUGUAUUUCAUCCGUUUCUUCUCAGCCUCUAAAAGAAGAGAAAGGUAGCAUUGAUCAUUAAGGAUUUUACCCUUGUGCCUAAAGGUGUGACCCAAAAAUUCUAUGGAGAAGGAUCUCAAGGAUGUAAAAAAUUUUAAGUAACUAGCUAUAUCAAGAGUGUACAUUCCUUUUCAGUGAUUCAUUCCUAAGAUCUUUGAACUUAACUUGGAACAAUCUUAUGCUAGGUGAACUCCUGGAAAUUUUCCUUGGAAGGAUAUGAGUGGGGUGGGGACAAAGCAUGCUGAAACUAUUCAUUCUGGUUUGUGAAGGUAUUUUUCACUCUUGGAAGCUCUUCAACACAAACAAAAUGACGUAGUCAGAUUGUGGAAAUGCCCAGGUAAUUAGAUGUCCAAUCCAAAUCCAUGAUCUGAAUCUUGGGCUUUGAGUGUUUUUUUUUAAAAAAAGAUAUUGAAAAAUAGAGAGACAAAGUUCAAUGUACAUGAGGGUUAUACAUGGGGAUUAGCAGGCGCACCCGAACAUCUCAACUAGGUUGUCACCUUCUUAGCGCCCUCAUCACAUCCAAAAAGUGAAAAUAAAAUCCUUAUACUAGCGCCCUUAUCACUUGGGCUUGGGGUGUUAUAGUUGGAGUAAGGAUCCUCUGGGUUUUUGGGAGCACAUCAAAGAGAGAUCGAAGGUAGAAGUGAAGUUGUAUUGCAGUAGCAAUGGGGCAGGUCACAAACGUUGGUUAUUUCUACUCUUGUUCUUGCCUAGCACACAUGAUUGAUUAGUAGUUGACAGUAAAGUUAUGGUUCCUCUAUUUUUGGCCUUGGGUAUUAAGUUUACUUUAGUACAAUAAUCGAGCAAAGCCUUUGAUCUUCUAAGGAUAUUAGUAUCUAACUGACAUUUUAUACUUAAUUGGAAGGAUGGUUUCUUGGUGACAAAAUGGAGCGGCCACAUAACAUCUUGCUUGGCUUUCUUAGUAUAGGAGUCAUUCCAAUUUCACUUGCAGCAGUGAAGGACUUUAGAUUGUAUGACAGUAUCUCAAGGAGAGAGACUAACAAGUGACCAUGUACCAAUAGAAUUUUAGAGCCAAACUAUUUAACUUGAGGCAAUUUAAGGCAGGAUUCAAUAAUGAGAUCCAUGAGGGACAUCCACUGCCAUUUCUCGGUUACUCAACUAAAGUUUUUUCUUUGGAGAGUAUUUAUUUUCUUUUAUAGAUCAAAUCUUAGAUAGAGGCAAACUAUGGCACUACAAAAGUUCUUUCUUAAUUUAAAAAGUACAAGAAUUAAAUUUUUUUGAUGAAGCAAACUGCUUUCAUUGAGAAAGAAUGAAAGAAUACAAAGACUUACAAAAAAAAAAAAAACCAGAAAAAACACCCCAACUAGCAUAAGGGGGACCAACUAAGUACAAUAAUUAAAUUUUGAACUCCAUUUUGACUGAGCUCCAAAAAGAGGCCACAACUUCUUUUGGGUUUAAAAAUCCAAUAUUGUUUUUUUGUUAGAAAAAAUUACUUCAUCCUUUUCUAGUCUCCCAUCAGGUAAUCACCAUUGGAUUGUUAAUGUAACAAUUGUGCUGCAGAGAUGAUCUGUGUUAGAUGUUGAACAUUUACCAUCCCUUGAUUUUUUUUUUUUCUGAAAAGAAGACAAGUUUCUUUAUUAUAAAUAAACUCAAAGUACAAGGGAGCUAUACAAUGAGAAUAAUACGGAAGCCAAGAAAUGGAGGAGAGAGAUAGAGAAUCAAUAGAUGCACCCAGACAUUUCAACUAGGUUGACACCCCCCAUAGCAUCCUCAUCAUAUCCAAAAUACAAAGAACAAGAACAAUACUAAGGUCAUGAAAAGACCAAAGUAACAACCUAAAUAACAACAGAAGCUACCUACGGUAGACAAAAGUAAGGCUGAAAAGUAAAAACAUAACGGUAGAAAUACAUAUUAAAGCCCAUCCAAACUUCAGAAGCACUAAUUCUGAAAUGGCAAUCGUGGGAAACUACAUUGAAUCUUAUCAGAUGAAGGCGGUCCAAUUGAGGCAGAUGUCCUGUAUGGAGAAAUCUUUGAAUUUUGCAUUUGAAGAACACCAAGCUGCUGUGUUUCUUUUAGAAAUCUCUACGAUGUCAACCCAAUCCCUUUUUUUUUUAUCAUGGAAGAUGCAUUGGUUAUGUUCAAACCAAAUCUCAGCUAGAAGCCCUUUUAUCAAAUUAACCCAAAUUAGAAAAGGUGCUUUUGUUGACUGGUAAUAAUGCCAUGCUUAGAAUAUUUGAAUGCAAGAAACAGCAAAAUGUUUCAAUUGAUUGAUAUGCUUAGGGAUGAGCUUCAAGACUGAUAUUCAUGUAGGCUGGUGUAUUUUUUUAAACUCUUUUGCAAUUAUUCUAUUUCUUAUUGCCAAUUGGUAAGCUUUUCAUAUUCUAUUGGGUUGAUUGUGAGGGUUUUAAUUCUUUGCACAUCCCGAUUGAAGAAAGAAAUUAAAAAGCAAAUUUCUCUGCGAAGUUCUUUUUUAAUGAGCAUAAGCAUUUAUUCUGCAUCACUAGAACCUCAAAAAGUUUUUAUUGGUUGUGCUGACUCAUUAUUCCUGAAACAGCUGGAGGAAAAAGAACCUAUUCUAGCUGUAGUCUACACCAACCUUUAAAAAAAUCUGUUGAUGUUCUUGAUUCAUUAGCCUGAAAAACUAAGGGAAAAGAUCUAUUCUAGCUGUAUUAUUUCCUUUGUACACAAGAUAUCACCAAUUCUAUCGCUUUUAAAUCUUAUGCAGGGCCGCUAUGAAAUCAUAUCUCUAUCAGGUUCCUUUUUGAUUUCUGAAAAUAAUGGUAAUCGGAGUCGAAGUGGUGGUUUAAGUGUGUCUCUAGCAAGUGCAGAUGGACAAGUUCUUGGUGGAAUUACCAACAUGCUAACGGCAGCAUCGACAGUUCAGGUACUAACCUUCCCUACUGUCUACAAGAAAGUUGGUUGUCUUAGCUUGACAUAGUGCUGUUGAUACUUCCCAUUUUGGAUGGGUUGAAUGUUCUUUGCUUGGUUUCAAGCUUAUCUGCUAAUGUAAAAUUUGACAAUACCAGAGGAGAAACAAAAGUAAGUUGGUUUUUAUGCCUUAAAUCAUGUCUUUUGUGCAAAAUCAGGUUAUAGUCGGUAGCUUUCUCGUGGAUGGAAAAAAGCUAGGAGCAAGUAUACAGAAAUCUGGGCCGUCGUCUACGUCCCCCAAUAUGUUAAACUUUGGUACACCCGUGGCUGCAGGCUGCCCCUCUGAAGGUGCAUCAAAUAAUUCAUCCGACGACAAUGGUGGUAGCCCUUUAAGCCGAGGGCCUGGAAUGUACACCAAUGCGAACCAACCAAUUCAUAAUAUGCAGAUGUAUCAACAAUUAUGGGCUAGCCGAAAUCAAUAAUGAAGCUGCUUUGCUCAACUUAACAGUGUAGUGCAUUGGGUGUCGAAGUGGUUAGUGUUUUGCAUCCCGAUGUAUAGAGGUUAGUUCUGGAUUCUGUCCCUAACAUCCAUUGCGCAAACCCCGUAUCAUAACUUUUCUAGAUUAGAUUCUCUAUUGAUCUUUUAGCUGCUGGUUAGCUUUUUUCUAGUCUGUCCAAAUUGUCUACUUGAACAUUUAUCCAUGAAUGCGGAAUUUCUGAAGAUUGUGGUAAAUUGUAUCGAUUGGGAUGUCAUUAUUAAAAACUAAGAAGGGUAAAUUUUCUACUCUCCUCUCUUAAUUAGGGACAAAAUCAAACGUAUCCAAAUAUGGAUUGUCGAAUCCGUAGUCAGUAACACAUUAGUUUUAACCUCUUGGAAAAGCCAUGAAGUUGAGUCAACAUGAUUAUUCAUGGAACGAUGUGUUCAAAUCAAAAUGAGUACAAAUUAUUAUUGUUAAGAUCUUUUUCUAGAGAUCAAUGAAAGUAGGACACUGUGAGUUGUUCACCUUUUCAAUUGCUUUUGCUUUCAUUGUGCUGAAAUGGGGUUAUUCUGUGAACAGAGUGAGAGAAUUAUGAAGUGUUUUCUGAAAUUUUCUCUUGCAAUAUUUACAAAAUCCUACAAGUAGUUUGAAGAGGGAGGGGAAAGGUUUGCAAGUAUCAAACACUUGGGAUUUGUUCUAUAGGUUAUACAACUGUCUCUUUGAGUUUUAAGGAGCCAUGAGAGAAAAUUUGCAUAUCUGCUAUUGGAUUUUUCAUCUUAUAUAGUUGAACAUUUGAUUUCAUUAUUUGUCUGAAUGUCUCAUCUUAAUAGGAUUUACCUUGGGGAAAUCAAAAUGAAGGCCUAUUAGAUCAAAAUUUAAUAUGUAAUGACAUAACCUUGGAGGAUGGUACUUGAGUUGUGAAAGAUUUAACUAUUCUAAAAGUAAACAAAAUAUUUAGUUUGACAUGUAAUAUAAACACUGCAGGUAGCUCUUGAAGCAACGACGAAUGACUAUGGUCAUCCAUCAUAUAUCAUAUUCUGUGUCUAAUCAUUUGCAUAUUAUUUGCUACUGAUCCUAUUAGAACUUGUAAAAUUUGUAUUUGAAAUCAGUACUAAACACAAUUUCUGUAGAUUGUUCCCCAAAUCGUGUACCGAUUGUAUGCCGAACAUAGACCUUCACUAUUAUUAUGUAUGCCAUUUUGUACCAAGCUAACUAACAAUGGUUACAUGAUAAUAACCUUUUCUUUAUACUUCCCCUAUAAUGUACUUUGAAUUGUGUAAUCUUUGAAAAUGAUUUUUUUUAAUAGAAAAAACUAUUUUUUUUUUUUUUAGUUUAAAACUAUUGACUUUGUUUCAUUUUGUUAUUGAUUGAUGGUAUUGUGUUAUUAGAUGAGCAAGUGGUUAGCAAGCCAUUUUAGCUUUUUCAUAUAAGUUGGGUCAGAUUGGGUUGAAUAAAUUUCUAUAUCUUCUAUUUGUUUGUGUUUUCAAUUUGGAUUCCUCCAUCAAGACGUUCGAGAUGCUAUGAUUUAUUCACUCAUUCCCUUUCCAAAAAAAUCUAGAAAAUCCAAUUGGAAACAUGAAGAAAUUGGGAAAUAUGGUGAUUUCUUUUGUUUUAAUCGUUUAAAUAGGAGUUAAAAUGACAGUAAUGUGCCUUAAAUCUAUUAGAGUGAAAAUUAUCCAAAUUUCUAUCGCUCAAAAUCAUCGCAAUGAACUUAAAGUUACAAUUUCAAUUUUAAGUUCUUGAAUGUUUAUAUACAAAUUUAGUUCCAUUUCACUUUUUUUUUUCUUAUUACAGUUGAACUUAAUAUUCAAUCAACAUUAUGAUAAUUAUCUAGAAAAUUAUAUUUUUCUAACAGCAUAUUGGGAGAAGGAUCGUAUCUCUAAACUUGAGGUUAGAGACUCCCUCCCCGCCCCUAUUCCAUUUUCUAUCCUCACGAACUUUCGAGUUGAAAUUUUUCGCGGAAAAUAUUUCUCACUUUUGUUUUUUUGUCUUUAAUAAAUAAGUACAAAUAUAUAUAAGUAUUAUGUAAACACACAUAUACAUGUUUAUAUAUACAUGUGUGUCUCACUCCUACGUGUUCAAUGAAUAUUUCUACUCAAGGCCAAUAAUAUAAAUUCAUGCCAAUUAUUCACACGUGGAGGAAAAAAAGUUGUGAUAAUUCAAUUACUAUAUAGAAAAUUCAUGUUAAGAAAAUUUUGAAUAACUAUAUUGACAUGAUUUUUGUUGUAACAAAUAAGAAUAUGAUAGAUCUCAAAAUAAUCAUAAUAAAAAUAUUAAAAUAUAUUAAUAAGAGCUCGUUUAGAUUAACUUGAGAAUUUUUUAUUUAACGGAUAAAAAUCAAACAACUUAUAGAUAGGAAUAUAAUAUCUAUAAAUUUAAUCUUUAAAAACAAAAAACCAAACCAAAUGGUUAUUAAAUAAGUACGUAAAGGCUAAAUCUAAAUGUUUUCGUGCCUUAAAAAAAAUCUUUAAGAGAUGGUUUAGAUUGCAAAUAUUGUUUAAGGAGUAACAAUUCUUUUUCAAACUAAGUUUUGCAAGAAGUUAUACUCAACCCGAUUCCCAACAAUUUUCAGAAGUGCUUAUAGAAACACUGUUCUAAAGCAUGUCUUCAAAAAGUAAUUUAAAAGUAUUAUAAAUCACAGAAAGAUUAAAACUAGAAAGACCAAGAAUUGUUAUCAACAUAGCUUUGGUCAUCUUGGGAGUAGUAUUGUUUGGGUGCUUAGAGACCAUAAGGGGUGCGUUCAUUGUUGCAGGGAAGCCUGUUUGAGUCUCAUUUGAUGCGUUAUUUGUUGAUAUCCGAGUGAUUGCGGUGAGUUCACAGGUUGUGAUCGAGCUCGACAGUGCAGUUGCUUUGUUAAGAGGAAGAGUUGUCAACAGCAGUAAGAUCUAUGGUGAAGAUGCACUGUGAUUUAUUUGACGUUCAUGAACUAAAGUGGUUGAUGGUGUAGCUCGUUAGACUAUGUAAAGGUGUUGGUUAAUAACGAUUCGAUUUGUUAAUUUUUAAAACUAUGUUUACUUAUUUUCCUUUAACCAUACAAACGAUUUCCAACUUGCUUAAGUUAACCUUUGAAACAAGUACAACAAUAUAAUAUAACAAUUCGAGAGAUUUAUUAUAAAUUAGUGUAAAUGGUGAAAGGCAUUAUUCUUUUUUUGUUUUUUUUAAAUGGAAUCAAAGAAGAUUUCAUAUUCCCAAAAAAUAAAUAUUAUAUAACAACUUGGUUUCCCUCUCUAUACCACUUUCCAAUGACAACAUUAACCCACUGUGAAAAUUAAUUAGUUUUCAUAAUAUUUUAAGGGAGGAAUUUAUAGUUAGGUUUUGGGUACUUUAUCAUGUUAAUAUUUAUUUACUUUUAGUGGAUUUUUAGUCGACAAAGUUGAGUUAAGUGGAUAAUAACGAUUCAUAGAGUUAAAAUAUCUUUAGAAUGCAAAAUUGAGUUAUAAAAUCAAAUUAUAUGUUUCGAGAUGUUGAACUAGUUGAGUUAUUGAAUUAAAAGUAUAGAAGGGCAUUUUUUGAGUAAUCUAAAAAAAAUGUUUGGGGUAAUUUUAUUAAUUUAGAUUCGGUUUGAUAAUCGUUUAAUUUUUUAUUUUUAAUUAUUAUGUACUUUCAAAAUAUUUAAAAUUGAAGACCAUCACUUUUGGAUCGAGAUAUGAUAAGGGUGUUAUGAAUGUGUGAUAACCUACUUAUCUUUUGAAUUCUCGUAUUUUGUUUUUUAAAAAAAUGAAGGCAUUUUAUUAAUAGUUUUUCAAAAUUUGAUUUGAUUUUGAGAGAAUGAAGUCAUGGUAUAAAAGAAAAACCCUAACCUCCAAAUUUUGUUUUUAAAAUACCAUAUAAAACUAUUCUAGUCCCUAGAGCUAAUUCUUUGAAUAAAUAAUAGUUUAUAAAAAAUGUGACAUCUUAAGUUAUUUAUUCAUUAAUUUGAUAUGAUGUAGGGUAAGUUGAGUAUAUUUGAAUGAUUAAUGAAGUUGGCACCCUCACAAUUGUGAUGUAAUUAUAUAUAUAAACAAUAGUGUUUGCAUAGACAAAUGCAAGGAAAUAUUUAGGUAAUGAAAAUGGGUCGAAUUUUCAAUUAAUUGAUUUCUGAAAGUUAAUGACAAAUGACAAAAUUAAAGUGAAUAAGUAUAAGGUUUCAGGGAAUAAAAUAAGUGAAGUGGGAGUCUGAGAAUUAAAGUGAGGUCAGGUAAAGUAGUUUUGGGACUAAAGUCAGACUUAAACCCAUUUCAAUUUUAAUAUAUAUCAAACAAUCAAAAUUUAUAAAUAUAAUAAAAUUUAGAUCUAAUUUUUAGAACUAUUAGUAAUAAAAUCGUUUCAUUGCUAGUACGAGUAUAUCUAUAGUUCUUAGAAAUAUUGUUAUACGCUUAGUUAUUAGUUUUAAAAGUACAAUUACCUUAAAUGUUAUUGUAUUUUUAGAGUUUAUUUUUAUUAAAUAAAUAAUAUAUGUUAUAUUAAUUCGUGUUCGAUUGGGUUGAACUGAAUUUUUCAACCCUCCAAUCUGAAACCUAUUCCAACCCAAAAAAAUUUAAUUUUUUAACCAAACUCAACUCACAUUUAAUUUAAACCUAACUCAACCCUUAUAAUAUGAGUUUGAUAGUCCGAGUUCAACCCAUAUUCUUACAUCCCUAGACAACAUUGUAGUGGAAAAUGAUGAAAGUGAUAAGAAAGUGUCUAUUGAUUGGGUGCACCCCUAAUCCAUCGUAUAUCCUCCAUUUUAGAAAAAAAGAAAAUUGAAACGAAGUGUCAAACAUCCGACCACCUUCAAGAUAAAAUGUCAUAUAAUUCACCUACGAGUCAAUUUCACUUUGUUGGCUUAAAAUUUAUGUUUCGACAUGAGAGAAUGAUUAUAGAUAGAAAAAAAAAAAAAAAACAAAUAUAGUACAAAGUUUAAAAUGACUAUCAGUCAAGUUCACUAAGUUUAAUAAAAAUUUGUUGUAUUUUAUAAAUAGUUUCAAUAUUUUGCUAUUUUUCAAAAUGUACUCGUGACACCUAAAAUUUAUUUUAAAAUGUGUGCUUUAUUAACAUAUUGUUCUAAAUAUUGAAUAGGUGCAAUAAACUACCACACACAAAAUAAUCAAAAUAAUAAUAAAAAAAGUUCUUUUAGAAGUUAAUUCAUAGUAAAAUAUAUUAACUAGAUAAUACGUAGAUAAUAAAACAUAUCAUUUUCUCUAAGUUAAACUUGGUUGACUGAACUUAUAUUAUAUGUUUUGACAUUUUGACAUUUAUUUAAAAAUAAAUAUGCUUUAUUAAAACAUUGUUCUAAAUUUCUAUAAAAGAAUUGAACAUAGAGUUUAAUCAUAGUGCAUGUAUAAAUAAAUUUAUUUUUGGGAUAUGCUUAAUUACUUUAUCCACUAAGUUAAUAUAUUAUUCCAAUUCAUUAGUUAUAUUAUCAUUAAUAUCUUAUAUGGCUCCCAUUUGUAACUAUGAUUUGUAUGAUAUCUUUAAUAACAAAUCUAAUAAAAAAAACAUUAAAGAGAAAUUAUUUAGACUAACAUAAAAUAGAUCAUUUAGAUACCUAUAUUUAUCUCUUUUCUAAUCUACGUUCAUUUUCAAUAUAAAUUCAACUAGUUAAGAUAUAUGUCAUUAAUUAAUUACGAAAUUGAAGAUUUUCGAGGUAAAAAAAUACAAUGUAAAUAUCUUUUCUUUUAAUAUAUAUAAUUAUUUUCAUUAUUAUUUUAGCUUUUAAGGCAACAAGAAGUCUCACAUAAUCCAACAAUGUGAUAAAAACAAUAGAAUAAAUAUCUAUCGAUCUCUAUUGAUGUUGUAUCUUAAAGUAGUUUAUCAUGUCUAUCACUUGUGACAUUUAGUUAUUUUCUAAAAUAAUGUGAUUAAAAAAGUAAUAUAUAUUUCAUUUUAGUUCAAGAAUAUUUAAGUAAUGUGAAGUUGAGAAAUCUAACUAUUAAUUAUUAAUAUGGUAAUCAAUAUCUUAUCUAUUAAAUUAGGUUUGAAUUAAUUAAAUAUAAAUAAUCGAUCAAACCAAAUUAUUUAUGUAACUUUCAUGACUACUAAUUUAGUUCUCUCAAAUUAAUAGACAUUUUUUGGAUUCAACAUCACAACUGAAAAUGAUUUUGAAAAAUUCAAAAUCAAAAUGAAUUUUAUGAGUAAUAUUUAAAAAUCCUUUAGUUUGAAAGUUGGAGGACAUUUUUCUUCCAUCACUCCUAAAUAUAUACUUUUAGAUUUUAGAUUAAAUUACAACUUUAAUCAAACUUCUAAACUGAAUUUUAUACAAUGUUCGAGCAAAAAAGUAUAACAAAACCUAAUUGUUUUGAGAUCGGAGUAUGAUAAAAGUGUCAACGAUGUAUAAACCUAAUUGAGAUAUUUGCGUGUAUACUUUACUAAUCCAUCAAGUUCUCUAGUAAGUAACCUUUUUGAAAAUUUUUAAUUUUAAUUUAGGUCCAAUGAGAUUUUAAACCUUUAGUUUUGUAUCAAAUAAGUUUGAUGAAUUUUUUUUACACAAAAAAAAUGUCGAAUAAGUACAAUAGCCUAUCACACAUAGAACUUAAAAAUUCAAGUAAGUAGUUAACGAAAUCCAAAUAAUCUCUAUUAGACAUUUUCUUUUAAAAUUGAAGCAAAAUAGACUCAAACUCGAAAGUUUAGAGACUUAAACUCAAAUUUUAACUUUUGAAAAUAAUAUUAAAACAUGAAUUAUAAAACAAAUGAAUUGUUCAUAACAAGCUUAUUUUAUCAAAGAGUAUAAAAAACAAAACAUAACUCUUAUCCAAAAGAAUCCCUAGAUUGAGCUAUAUAUAUAUAUAUAUAGUUAAGAAAAAAAUGCCAUUUUUUUAUACCUCAAUCUAAUCUUUGAAACAUCAAACCAAACCAAGCUAUCUACUUUAUAAAAUAUUUAAUGAAUUGACAAAUUAAAAAAAUACAUUUAGAAAGAGAAAAGUAGAAUAGUACUGCAAACUUAACUACUCUCAUCUAUGAUAAAAUUAAGCUUAUAUAUAUAUUAAUAUAUAUGUAUAUGUGCCCACCCAUGGAACAUUUUUUAAGGUUGUAUAAUUAAUUUGUUCUUCAUCAUUUACUGCUUCGUCUCUUUCUACUUUAAUUCACAAAUUUUCAAGAUCUUUUUAAUGUGUCUAACCUAAUAUUUGUAUAGCUAUAGCCUUUGUUCUUCUCAUGUAAAGAAAUAUAUUUAAUCUCAAAAACAACAACAGCCUCCAAAAUAUGAUCAAAAGAUAUAUAUAAAAUGAGUAAAACAUGUCAUUAAAUUAAUUGAAGCUAAAGGAAUCCAAAAUAAAGUCCAAGGCUCAAACACUAAUUUACAUUUUACUUUUGUAGGUUUCGUCAUCAAAAUCAAAACACACCACACCCAAUUUUUUUUUCAAAACCAAAACAUAUAAUUACAUAUAUACAACUAAAUUUUAUGUUAAUUUUUCAUGCAGACAAAACCUAGGAGUUAGAGAAAGGGAACACAAUCCCAUAUAACAAUAUUCCAUUAGUUUUUACUUAAAAAAACCCAUAAAGAGAAAAUUAAUCUUGAAUUGAGAAAUCCACAAAAACAGCCAUGAGAUAUAAUUUCUUCUACGACUUAAAUAAUUUAUAGAUCCCAAACCCCAAAAGCAAGAGAUCAACAACGACAAGAAGAAAUUAUAUAUAUUAUAAAAAGAUAUUCCUAAAUUAAAGAUGAGAAAGCUAAAGUAUUCAAUGAACAUCCACAAAAAGAAGAAGAUGAAGAUGAAGAGAAGAUGAAGAUGAAGAAGAAAAAAAGAUUUAAUUAACAAUAUAUAUAAAAAUAAGGGUUCAUAAGAAGAUUCAAUGGCUGACCUUUGAAACCAGUUAGUCAAUCCGAUCUGCAAUUUUUCUUCAUUUUUUUUUUUUUUUGACUUUCGAGUCUAAACACUGCAAGAGAUUUGAUGGGGUGUUCUGGAUUUGUUUUAAAAAUAAUUUCAAACCCUCAAUUAGAUCCAAUUUUUGAGGGUUUGAAUUGUUUGUCAAAAGGGUGGAAGUUGAACAUUUUGCAUAUGAAGUGGCAAAUUCAAGAAUGGAAGUCCUGAAUUUGAUGGGUCUUGAAAUGGAUUAUUAUUGUUGUUGUUACCAACUCCGCCGCCGCUCCCUCCGCCGCCUGCAGGAGUUUGUUGCUGAUCCUCCUCAUCCAAUGGCAAUCUCUCAUACGCUACAUUCGUAAACGAAGCUGCAAUCAAAAUCACCGGCCCGGCCGCUGUCAAUUCACCAGCAACCGUCCCUCCCACUACUUGCCCCUGCCCUCCGGCUAAAAAUAUCGUCAAACUCGUCGCACCGGGUGGAGCAGGCGGCGGCAGAAACGAUCCCGACAACGACAAAAUUUCAAACCUCCCUUGAAGAGUCAACACCCCAGCUGCCGCUGGCUGGCGGAGACCGACGUUGGUGACGUUACCGCUACCGCUCAAAAUACAGAUCCCACGCUGUCGUCGGCGGGCGUAGGAAGCGACGCAAUCGAAAACAUCGCAGCCGCUGCCAACUUCUAAGAUGUGGACACGAAGCGUGUUGGCGCUCUCACGGGUGAUGAUAACCGGCGGCUUUGGUUUGUUUUUCGAACCUGGUGGCCGACCGCGUGGACGACGGCCAACAACAUCCCCCGUACCACCUAGGGUUUGGUGGGGAUCGUCAUCGUCUUGGUGAUCACCGGAGGAGAAAUGACCACCGUCUACUUGUGGUUGAAGGUGAGUUAGAUAUCGAGUUCCUAAAUCCAACCCAGCCAUAAAACAUUAACGAGAAAGAAAAUUUUCGAAAGAAAAAAAAUCCUUUUGAAGAAAAUAUGAAUUUGAAAGAAACCCACAAAGGGAAAUGGAAAAAGAGAUGAAAUUGAGGAAGAAAAAUGGUGGAAUAUAGAGAGAAAGAGAUGAAGAGAUGAAGAAAUGGAAGAAAGGCCAAAGAGGAAAGAAAUAGGAGAGACUCAAAACGCAGUCAUUCAUUUCUCUCACUGCUAAAAAGUUUAUGAAUAUUUAUAUGAAAAAUUCAUUAAUUGGUUUAAAUUUGUUUUUUAAUUUUUUCAUUUUUAAAUAAAACUUGGUUUCUUAUUGGUCUUCACGUUCUAAGAAAACUACUCUCACUUCUUGAGCGUGGAACAAACGCGAUGAUGUAUGCUUCAAACUAAAGUUGUGUUUUGGAAAGUGCUUUCGGUAACUUUUUCUUUUCUUUUUUCCCAAAAUUAGGGUUAGGUUACUAGAGUUAGUCAACUCCAAUUAUAAUUACCCAUAUUCAAAUUAACAUACAUAACUUCCAUGUUUUCCAUUCAAUUCAUUUUAGCUCAACCAUAAUUAAUUAGUAUUACUUUACGUGAGCUUACAAGUUUAAACCAUUUUAUUUUAUUUGAUUGGUCUUUUUAACGAUGAACUAAUUAAGAAGAAUGUUAUUGUAGUCACCUCCACAAUUUUGUAUUUUAAAACUUCAAAAUUAGGUUAGUUCAAGUGAAAAUAUGAUUUUUUUUCUCUUUUUUAUAAAACUAAUAAAGUUUUUAUUUCAAUGAUGUAUAUUUAUUAAGUAACAUUUUAUUUAGAUUUCAAUAAGGACACAUGUAUGUUGAGAUUAUAUAUAAAAAAGAUUAAAUACAGUCAAGUCCAUAUAAAAGAAUUAUGCAAUAAAAUCUAUACUACAUAUACACAAUUUAUGUUAUUUCAUUGUUUAAUGCAUGGAAUAAAGGUUUCAUUUCUUUUUCAUUCUAAAAUGCUUCAAUCAUCAAUCUUUAAUAUAAUAAACACAUAAUUCUUUUAUUUUAAAAAAAUGUAUCAAAACAUAAGGCUAAAGCAAGAAGUUUACUCAAUAUUAUUAUUUGUCAUCUUUUUUAUUAAAUGUGUUUGUAGGGAACAAAGAUGCCAUAAGAAAUGAUAAUGAAGAUGUUAUUCUUUGGUUGUUGGUUUUGGAACUUUUGAUAGAUUAAAAGCCUAAACCCAUGGUUUGGGGGAACAAGUUUGACCAACAAACUUGGGUUAUUUAUUGAAAUAAUAUGGAGGGGGGAAUAUUUUUUAAGAAAAAAAAACUUAAAAAUCAAAUAAAUAAACUAAAUUAAUUAAUCAAAGAAGGGAUAAAAUAAUAAUGAAUAAUUAGCAAGUGGGAGGUGGAUCAAUGGACCCUCUUUUUUGUCUUGUUUCAUCCUAGUGGCCAUCUAAAAUGGUGCCUUUAGCCAACUGCCCUUAUUUUGUUCUUUGUCUCUUCCCAAAUUCAACCCAUAUGGAAAACUCCCUAAUUCCAAGUUCAAGUUGCAACCCUUCUUAAAUUAAUAUAUAACUAAUCUUAUCUCUAAUCAUUUUUUAAAGUGUAUUUAAAGUUUCACCUCAAUUGAGGAGGGGUGGGGAUAACUCUUUUUAUCUUAAUACGUGAUAUCAAGAUUAGCAAUCUGUUAAAGUUUUUGCUUCAACAUUAUUCAUAUCGUUUUAAAUUAUAUAUCCUUUCUAGAUGUGGUAGUUUUGGUUAGAAUGCAAUAACAUAAUCUUUCAAAUUUUCGAAAAGUUGCCCUUUCAUAUAUGGGAAGGAAAGAUUGACAUCAUGAUCAAUUUGGCUACUUUAUUUUCUGUCCAAAUUCAUUUCAUUUUUUAUUACGACACAUCUUGAUCUAUUUUAUUUUGCUUGAUUGAAAGGUUUUUCUAUAGCAUUUCUUUUGUUUAUAUAUAUGCUUUUGACUUUGAAUUCUUUUCUAGGUCCCUUGCACUCAAAAUCUUAUGUGUUAUAUUAUAGAUUUAUCAACCACACUUAAUUAAAAUGGAAUAUAAUUAGGGGUCUCUCUAUUCCUUAAUUUUUUUUUUUGUUAAAAGAAUAUUUUUUUAGAAGUUAAAUGAUAAUAUAAUAUACUUAUAACCAGAUAAUGGUCGACAAUAUAGACUCUAAAUAGAAAAAAAGUCAUACUAAGUGUUUUGUUAAAUAUUUAAGAGAAAGUAAUCGUUGGUUAACUAAAGAUUAAAAUAUGUUUCCACACAUAUAUUAGGGUUAGAAACAAAAACAUUUGAAAGUUUUCUCAAACAAAUUGUUUUUCACCACAUUCCUAAAUAUAGAAAAAAAAAAAACUUUAAUAAAACAAGCAGCCAAUAAAAUGUCAUUAUGCUUACAUUGUUGAACAAAUUAAAUAUGAUUAAUUAAAUAAGUUUAAGUAAACUUAUACAUCAAUUUCCCAAUGAAUUAAUGCCAUAUUAUUGUUGAGGUUGUCUUAGCUUGGUUUUGAAUUUCAACACCACAUUGGAUUUUGUGUAUUUGCUUUCCUUAUAUGUUCAUAAGAAGUCAAAAUCAGAAGCUUGAGAAUUAAUCAUGACUUUGGAUAAUUAGAAAAGUUAAAAGUAGUUGUGCAAAUUUUGAAAAUCUUGGGUUAUGUCAUUUUGUUCGAAAGUAGUCAAGUCUUUUUUUUCUAAUUCGCACUAGCUUUAUUAUUAUUAUUAUUAUUCAUUUUAAGAAUAUGUUCAUUGAUAUUUUAAAAACUUUGAAUAUUAUAAUUUUAACCUAGGUAAAAAAAAAAAAAAAUUAAUAUCAUAGUUAAUUUAAUUUUGUGUUUAGAAGAUCAGCAAAUUUUAAAAAAUAUGAAAUGUAUUAAAGAUGUAUUGAACAGUCCUUUUUUUUUUUUUUUUUCCUUUUCAUUAAUUAUUUUUUUGCAUUGACAUCUUAUCUUCUCAAUUGUCUUAGUCUUGGAAAGUGGUUUCCUCCUUUUACUUUGUUCCUUCUUGAAAAGGACUCAUGUUUUGGUGUUUGGUAGUUGGUAGUUUCUUGUUUUCUUUAUCUAUGUUUCAACAUAAAAUAUAAAUACACAUAUCUUCACUACCAUUCAACUAUUUUCACUUUAAAACAAAAUUUCAUCAUUUUCUAUAUGAAUAAAAUCGUCCAAAACAAACUUCUGCUUCUUCUUCUUCUUCUUUUUGUUAACUAUAAUGUUUGUAUCAUUUUCUAACAAAUUGGAUUUUUCAUGAAAAGCUUACAUUAUUAAUUUUUAUUAUAAAAAACAAAUAAAAUAAUUAAGAAUACUACUAAAUACGAUACUAGCAAAUGUCUAAAUACGAGGCAUAUUCCAAGGUAGAAAUUAAUUAAUUAAGAAUACUACUACUAAAUUAUUUUAGAUUUUUUGUGAUGAUGAAUAGUUUUAGAAAAAAAAAAGGCUAUAAAAUAAAAAAUCAUUGCACUUUUUCAACCUAUUUAUAAUUUUAUGCACAAACAUUAAACUAUAUAUAUAUAUAUAUAUAUAUAUAUAUAUAUAUAUAUAUUAUCUUUUUUUUAUAAAAAAAAUGGCAUAUAAUAUAUGAAACAAAAGAUGUAUCUAUCUAUGUAUAUAUAUAAUACAAACUUUUACAUCACCAAAUGUUUAAGUGAUUAUUGAAUGAAUAAAUAUGAAACAAAAGGGAUAUAGAAAGCUCAUGAUGUUCUAAAUUAUAUAGUUUCUUUUCAAAGAUUAAUUUAGUAAAACAAAUUAUAGAAUUUUUUUUAAAAAAAUGAUUGAAAAAUACAUACAUUCCAAUUGCAAUUAGUUUCUUGAGUUGGUGAUGGCCCUUUUAAAAUUUAUACCUAUAUAUAAUUGACAAGCUUAGGGUCCCAUAACUAAAUAAAAAUAAGAAUCAACUCAUUAGCAAAUCUUGGUGGGAAGAAAAGAAAAAUCACACUUAAAUCUACUUAAAAUAAACGCAGAGUUAAAUAAAUUAAAUUUAGUACCUCUAAAGUAUAUGUCCGUACUCAUAUUAAUUUAUUACAUCUAUUUGUGUUGUGGAACAAUAUUUAAUAUAUGAUACAAAAAUUAUACCUUUUCUUCUUCUUCUUCUUCUUUAAUUAAGAAUAUAUUUACCUUUGUUUUAUGUAUAUAUAAUAAUGUUUGAAAAGAUUCGUCUCUUUAGAGGUUUGGAUCAUUAAUUGGUAUAUUAAAAAGUAGGGUUGAAUAAUUCAUCUUAAAUUUUAGUUAGUAUAUAAAAAUUUUGAAAUUUUAUUUUAUUUUAGGUAAUCUAACCAUUCAUAUUCUUAAAUUUUAAUGGUUUUGUUGUAUUCAUUCAAACUUGAGACUAAUAAUUGUAUUUUGUUUGUGAGUGUGUAUUAAUUUACAUACUUCUAACACUUAUAUUUGUAUAAUCAUUAAGCUUUCAUAAAAUAAUCAAAUUAGAUUUUCUAGCUACACAAAAUUUGUAACAUCAUGCGUUUCGAAGAGAGAUAUAUGAAUGAAUCAAAAGAUCUCAUCUAAAUGACAAGAUUCAUAAGAAAUAAUUAAAGGUACUUUAUAUAUAUAACCAACAUGUGUACCUCCCUAUUCAACAACUCAAUUAUAAGGGCUUCAAAAUUAAGUGAGAGCCAGCUUGGAGCAAUCUUGUAUUAGGUGAUCUUCUGAAAAUUUUCUUAAAAAGCAUGUGAGUAGGAAAACUUUCACACUUAGAAGUCAUUAUUCAAGACAAACCAAGAAUUAUAUUCUCAGGUCAUGUCGGAGUCAUUUUGUAAAAAUAAUAUUUGCAAAAACUAUAUUACACAUGUUUAGAAAAUUAACCUAGGAAUGAUUUUUAAAAGAGAAAUUUUCGUAAAUAACAAAUUUUACAACUUAUAACAAAUUCUAUUAGUGAUAGUUAUUGAUAUGCUACAGUAAUAGAAGACUGUCAUCGAUAGAAUUCAAAAUUUUGCUAUAAUUUGUAAAUAUAUUUUAGAAAAUGUUCCUUUUUUAAAUCCAUAAAUUGAUUGGAUUUAAUGAAAACUUAUGAGUUUAAUGGAGGGUGACUUCAAUAUUUGACACAUAUAUAUAGAUAUAUAUAAUUUUCUAUAAGCCCUUUUAUAGACUCUCAUGACUUGACAUGUGUUUAUUAUUAUUAUUAUUUUUAUCUAGAAAUCAACUUUAAAAUAAGGCUUGAAGCACAUAGGAAUUCCAUAAAUUUCAGAUGCUCUUUUAAUUCAUAUAAAACUUUGACCUAUUAGUUAUCAAAUUAAUAAACAAAUCGUAAAUGUUCAUCACAAUCAAGAUAACAAAAAUUAUGUAGAUGAUUUGAUAGGCAUCAAAAUAUAUUCACCACAAAGAAAUGCAUAUAAAAACAAUACUUUAUUGUCGUACUAAAAAAUUAUAAAUUUAAAAAUAAUAAUUGUUUGAACUAUUGAUUAUAAAGUGUUUAAUAUAAUUUAUUUAACUUUUCUCAAAGUAAUUAAAUUGUUUUAAAAAUAAUCGUUUUCUUCUCAUUCAAUCAUUGCAAGCAAUUUAAUUUAAUUUAUUAAUUAAAAUAGGUUUAGUUUCGUCAUUUCAAAGUUUAUCCAUAAUGUUUCAUGUAAUGAUUAAUAAUUAGAAAGUUAACCAUGGAUAAGAGGUGUAGUUUUUUUUCCCCUCAAGAACAAUAAUAAAAAGGUAUAGGAUCAUUUAGAUUUUUUCUUUUUUUUAUAGGCCAACAAAUUUAUUUAAUUUUUAUGAUUUUAAAACUUAUGUUUGUCUCCCUCUUCUAAGCAUUUCACCUACUUUAAACAAUACAUAUGAAUCUUUUAAAGAAAAAAAAUCAAGUUUCUUUUUCUGCCUUGAAUUUUGAAAUGGUAAGUAUAGGGUUUGAUAACCAUUAAAAUGUAAUUAAUUUUGAUUAUUGUAAAAAAAAAAUCAAAUUGUGUUACCAAUCUUUGUGUCUCUUUGAUCACUAUGGUUGUUGUUUGAUAUUAAAUUAUUUUAUUUGUUAGGUUAAAUCAUGUCACAACCUCGUGUUUGACUUGUAUACUAAUAUUCUAUGUUAGAACCACGUUUUUUCUUCCAAAACUUUAAAAUCAAAAUUGAUACAAAUUAAUAAACUUUAAGUAAAAAUCUACAAAUUAAGAAAAGAAUAAACUUUUUUUUACUUUUUAAUUUAAUUAAAAAUUCAAAUAUAUAUUUAAAAGAGAUAAAAGAAUACCAAAUAAAAAUAAAAGUUGUGUAAAUGACAAAUGUAACGGAAAUAUAAUGAAAUUUUAUUUUUAUAAGUGACAAUCGUAGAUAAACAUCUAUAAAUUUAGUGCUACACAAUUCGAUGUGUAUCAUUUAAUUAAGUAACACGUGGAUUAAAAAUUACUACGAUUAUUCUAUAUUUAUAAGUAAGUUUACUUUUUUUUUUCUUAAUAUUUGAAAACCAAAACAAACAAAAAUGUUUAGCAAUUGAUUGUUUGCAGUAAACCCAUAUUCAAGUUCUGAAAAAAAAAAUUAAACAAAAAAUAACUUUUAGAAAAGAGUUAACCUUUUGCUAUCUUUUAAAAAGCAAUUCUUUCAACAACUUUCAAAUAACUCAUAAUUGCUCUUUAUAUUAAAUAACAUCUAGUUUUGUCUUAAAAUCAAAUAACAAUUAGGUUAGAUAUAUAUACAGUCUAUAAACCUAAAUUUGGUCCAAUAAUUAAAGAAAAAAAAAAACCCUUUCUUAAUGUGAGACUAUUUGAAAGAGCAUUUAAUCUAAUAGCCUUUUCUGAUUCUGGUUGGGAUUGAAAUGCUUUGGAUAGACGUUCCCAAUUCUUGGGCAACAAAUUAGAAGAAUACAAUGGUUUCUCAUAGUUUUAUUAUGGGCAUGAGUACAUGGCUUUAAUUAGCAAAAACUACAACGAAUCUCUUUUGGGUCAUCAGCUUCUUCAUCAUCCUUCUAUUUUUCUUGUGAAUCAGACUGCAAUUCAAUUGGCUCAUAAUCCUAUUUCUCAUAAAAAAAAAAACAUAGAAAACAAGUUGAAGCUGAUUUCUAUUUCAUAUGAGAGAGUACACACUCCAACAAUUAAUUAAUGAGGAGAUCAGAAAGCACUUUCAUUGAGAUUAUUGUAUGAAACAUUGCACCCAACAUGCCUAAUUGUAACAACAAUUAAUUCAAUGUCAAAAUUUUAAUGAUUGGUUUUAUAUAUUUAGACACAAUUUUUAGGCCAUCAAAAUUUAUUUAACAUGGAUUGAAGACCUAUUAAUUAAGAAGUGAUUUUAAAGAUGAAGCAAAUUAUUUUAAUUAAGUUCACAAUAAUUACUUUUCCAAACAUGUCCUAAUUAGUUAAAGUUAGAUAAUAACACUAGAGGCAAAAUUUAAAACAUAUUUUAGUUUCUAUUUUUAGAGUCUACUUUUCAUUUUGUCCCUAAGUUAAAUAUAUAUAUAUAUAUAUAUAUAUAUAUAUAUAUAUAUAUACUUUCACCACCCCAUUUAAUUUUGAGUAUUAAUUUUCAUCUAGUUUUUGGUUUUUUUGUAUUAUUUUUUUGAAAAAGUUACUUCAUGAAGGUUCGUUAUUGGUAUCUUGGGACAGUAGUGAGAACUAUUUUAAAUAUGAAAAGUAAUUUAUGAUUAACCUAGGGACAAUUAAUACAAUUCUUUUCAAAAUGUUUCAUCUCUUUGCCUUGAAUUUUGGCUCCCAAUAACUCUUAGGUUUCAACAUUUCCCACUCUUAUCCUUGAAUUUAUCUAAAUAGCAUUUUUUUUAGUUUUUACUAUUAAUUAAUCUAAAAUCACUAUCUAUUUAAAAUAAAUUAUUUUUCAUUAGCUUUUCAACACUAGCUAUAAAAGUUAAUUAAGAAAUUCCCAUCAUAGUUAAUUUAAAUUAACUAAACUAAAAUUAACAUAUAAUAAAAAAAUUCAUAUAAAUAACAAAACAAUAACAACUUGUCUGUUUAUUUGUAGUAUUACGUUAUUCUAAAACUAAAGAGUUCUUUUCAUUUUUUUAUUUAUUUUGUUCUUGACCUAAUUCGAAAGCGAUGAUGCAAGAGUUCUCUAAUAUUUGACUAAUUAAUUUGAAGUUACAAUUUUACCAGUAUUAAUCGUUACGAUUUAUUUGUAAUAUCUAUACAAAACAAAUAAUUAUCUUUAAGACAAUGUUUAUCACGAGCAUGUCUCAGCUAUAUGUCUUCAAUCCUCGCAAAGAUUUUGAAGAUUUUUUUCUUCAAUGAUUUUCAUAAGCAUCACUAUAUCAUCAAACUUACGUUUAAAUUUAGUUGAAACACCUUGAAUUUAGUAUGUGGCACUACGAAUAACCUAAUAUUGACUCUCAUUAAGUUACUUUAUUGGAUAGACUUAUUUAUGAGCUAUUUACGAUUUUGACACUAGAGUUUAGAGAAGUGCACAAUAUAUAAAUUUAUUAAUCUAGUGACGUUGUAUUGUAUUAUAAAUUUUUUUUAAUAAAAUUGUUCUUGCUCUGUUUCGUGAAAGAAACUAACAAUACAUUAUUAGUGAACUACAUAUAUUUGUGUGUCGAAAUCCAUGCUAUUUUAGGAGAGGUGUAAUGGUUUGUCAAUGUAUUCUCUAUUUUAGGGGAGGUGUAAUGGUUUGUCAAUGUAUUCUCUAUUUUAGGGGAGGUGUAAUGGUUUGUCAAUGUAUUCUCUAUUUAUGUAUCAAAUUUCCAACCACACCAAUAUAUUAUAUACAGAGAGAUGAGAGAGAGAAAGCAAUGAAGAAUGUGCAUGCAUCUAUGGAUGUGAUAGAGAGAGAGAGAGAGAGGAGGUCACGUGCAAGGAGAAAUGAGAAGAGAUAUGGAGCAUCGGAGAGAGAGAAGAAGAAGAGGGCAGCCUAUAGCUGUCGGCCACAACCCAAAGCCCACCUUCAUUGGAAACUGUUCUAAUCUCUUUCUCUUUGCCUGUGGAACAUAAAUUUUACACCAAAACACAGCAAAGGUUCAGUCCCCUUGAAUCCCGGGGGGUCCUUUAAUGACACCUCCUUUACUUACCCCCACUUUCUUUUUCUCCAACCUAUUCCCACUCUCCAUCAAUUAUAACUUAUCCAACACAUUUCAAACGUUCUUUGAUUACAAUAGUCACAAAAUUAUAAUUGAUUGUAUGUUAUAAGAAAAAAAAUAUAUUGAUAUAAGAAAAAAAUACAAAGAUGCAAGAGAUCGAGAGUUGAAAAAAGACCAAAGAAAAAAUCUUCCCAUUAAGAGCUAUACAAGAAACAUCAUCACUAGAAAAAAGGUACAUACAGAAUGUCUUCGCAUAGAUAGUCGAAUGAAUUUUUAAUAUAAUAGUCUUAGGUUUGAGAUACAUAUCAUUUAAGUUAGAGUUAUAAUUAAGUUAAGACAGUAAACAAGUGUGUCGAGGGGAUAAGUGAUAAAUAGUUAAUAUCGUAGCAAGAAUAGUUUUAAAAUAGUGUUAAUGUGUAUAUUAUAAAUAAUUGUAAGUAUUAUGGCCAUUAUAUUUUGAGAGGGAGUGAGUUAUACUCACUUAUUCUAUAUCAACUUUACUUUUGAGUUUGUAACCUAAAGACUCUCUUUUUCUUUUACUCUUAGUAUGCAUGUUUAUACUUUCAAAAUGUAUAAAGACAAACUCUAUUCUACUUUUUUCCUCUAAAUUUGUUGAAUUAAGAAAACUAAGGAAAAUGGAGACAUUGUGGAUAUAUAUAUAUAAAUAAAUAAAUAAAUGAUAGACAAUAUUACCUCACUUUGGUACAACAAUUAGGUGUAAAAGAAAGGAAUGAAUCAUGAGUGACUUAAAGUGGAUAAAUGGCAUACCAUUAUAUAGAUAUGUGUCACACUUUCUUUUGUUCUUUUGGAAAAGUUCAUUUUGUGAAAUAGAAUUUUAAAAUCUUUGCAAAUUGAGGAGAAAACAAAGUUUAGAUCUUUAUUGAAGACUGUUAGAUAGUCCUUCUAUUUGUAGUUUUAUGAUUUCGAAAUUAAUCUUUUUUUUUUCAUUUUUCCAAUUUUCUUCUAAAAAUGAAAAUUAGUAAAUGAUUAUGAAAAGAAACUUUAAAAUAAACAAAACUCAUAAACCUAAUAUCGUUAAAAAAUUUUAAAUAUUAAGAAAAUGUUGAAUAAAUCAAAUAAAUCCAAUGAAUAAAAGAUAUUAAUAUCUAUUGUUAACCUUUUAUCUUACUUCUCAUGUUUCAUGGUUCUUUUAUUCACUAUAUAUAUAUAUAUAUAUAUAUAUAUAUAUAAUCAAAACAUCAAUAACUAAGUUAUAAAAAUACAAAAACGUAGAUAGAAAUGUUAACAUAAUUUGUUUUCUUCAAAUAAAAUAACAAGUAAAAGGAAUUGAAGGAACAAAUUCUCUUUUAAAAACUAUGUUGAAUAAGUAGAUAAGUGGAUUAACCAAAAUAGUUAUGUUAGGAGUACACUCGCGAGAAGCUGCGUGUAGUUUGGAAAUGGAUGGUUUUGAUUGGACAGUCAACGGUCAGCAAAACCAUAGAAACGUGCCCUUCUCUCUCUCUCUCUCUCUUGAUUAGGUAAACAAUUUGAUGAUAGAGAGAAAGAAAAGAAAAGAUGGUUUGGGGUUGUGUCUGAAAAUUUGUAAAAUCCCAAAUAUAAUCUUUAGUGUCGGAAGUGUGUCCUUGAAAAAAGUUCCCUCUUCUGAAAUUUUGGGUACCCAUACCCUUUACUUUUUUUUUCUUAUAAUAAUGGAAAAGGGUGGGAAUUGGAUUGGACUGAUAGCUCAGUUAUUACUUCCAUGUCAUAAAAGACAACCCCACGAGGGAACCCUAAACUUCUUAUCAAAUUAUAUAAUUUAACCCAGAAAAAGAAAAGAGAGGAAAAAGAAAAAAUAAAAAGGAGGAAAAGCUGUUUCUUAUUUUUUAUUUUUUGUGUAUGCAGUGUGUGAGACUUUGGUUGGUGAUCUCUCAAUUGAAGUGUGUGGCCCAAUCUGUCAUUGUAACUUCACCAACUCUCUCACCCCCACAUCCAUAUCCUUCAUGUCUACAUCACUUGUCAACUCUUUCAUCUUCUUUUUCUUUUUUCUCUCUCUCUCUUUCUAGCUAAAAACAUGUUGAGAUGAUCAUCAACAAUCAUUGUUUUAAUGUAUUUUGUGGUUCCCGAUCGAGAAAUGUUUGAGUAGGUUGUGUUGCUAAAUCAAUAGGUUUAUGACUUUUUAUGUAGUGCUCGUUUGAUUUGUUUGGAUUUUUAGCUUAUAAUAGGUAAUGUAUAUAAUAUUAUUUUGUUUCCAAAGUAUAUGUUCAAUUUUAAUCACUCGUACUAAUUAUAUGUUUAUUGUUAUUGAUUUUGUUUAUUUUAUGUGUUACUAAAUGUCUCCACUAAUAUUAUUUAAACUACAACAUGCAUGUAUAUAUAUAUAUUUUUUGUACGAGGAAUAAAAGUUUUAUGUACCUAUGUUAGCUCAAGUGUUUAAAUUUUGAAGUAUAUAACAAAAAGAAAACAAUUGUUUUGUGUAAAUGCAAACAAAAAAAUAUAUACAAAAUUUAUUGAUACAUAUUAUUCGAUUAGGGCAAGUAAUUAACAAAAUUGGAAAAUUUUAGUUCCCUAUAUAUGUAUUUGGUAUUAAAAUUCUAAUCCUACCCAUCUUGCAACACCUUGACUGCUAGUAACAUUAUUUUGUGAUCUACUAAUGUGUUAGUAUGGUAGAAGCUCAAUGUAAACUCUCAUUCCUUAAGGAUUAAUUAUUAGGCAUAAGAUUUUCAUACUCACUAGUGUCUAACAUCUUGAUAAACUCUACACUAUAUGACUCAAUAAUUAAUUGGAUAAUAAAACAACCAUAUAUGUUUAUUAUUUGUUUUUCAAUCAUCAUAAAAUUGUCGGGCACAAUUCAACUUAAUUCUUGAUACAUUUGAGGAUUGUUUUCAAAAAAAAAAAAAAAAGGCAUAAUGUUCACUUUCUUGUCUCUUCUUGAUGAUCUUAAGAUAACCUUUAAAAGAGAGAGAGAGAUGGGAUUGAUAAAUCUCUUUGCUACCCAUUAAUAAACAAAUGCAAUACAUUUGGUUGUGGGGAUUGAUAUAUUUUAAUCUCAACAUCACAUAAUUGUAUAUUAGCACAAGAAAAUUUAAUAACAAUGUAGAAUUGACUUCUCAAGUCUUCUAUUACAUAUAUUAUUAUUUAAUACUAAAGAUAACUAAUACAAUAUGCAAUCUAAUUUAUGUAAAAUAAAAGUUACUAUUACAUAAUCAUACACUUGACGGUCCCAAAUGUAAUUAACAAUAACAAAUUAUCAAAAUCAAAUGUAUAUAUAAAUAAAGUAUUAUAUUUUGGAUAGGCUGCAAAUUUUAUUUUCUAACUAUAAUUAAAUGCAAAAAGUUGAGUAUCUAGAAGAAGAAGAGCGAUGUCCCAACCACUAAUAAAGUGUACACCUGCAAUUUAAUUUGUAACAUAAGACUUUACAUAUUUACAUAUUAGAUAAACGUUGGAAAUACAAUCAAAGUCGAUCUCCUAUCGAUUAAAUAAGGGAAAGGUCGUGAGUAUACAAAUAAGAGCAAUAAGUUUUGUUGUUUUGGGACCUUUAGCUUGAAGUAAAAAUUUCAAGUCAAGAAAUUUUUAUUGUAAUUGUAAUUGACACGCUUGUGAAUAAUAUUAAUAUUCUCUAAAAAGACAACAACUCCAAUAUUUGUUAUAGAUAUAGCUAUCAUAGUUUAGUCUAGUGAUAAAAAUGGAGACAUGGUUUCAAUAACUAACUAAAAGGUCAUGAGUUCAAUCAAUAGUGACCAUCUACCUAAGAAUUAAUUCUUUGACACCCAAGUGUUGUAGAGUCAGACGGGUGUUCCGUGAGAAUAAUCGAAGUGUGUGUAAGCUAGCUUGGACACUCACACGAAUAUAAAAAAAAAAAUCUUUCAUAGAUGACCAACCCUAGAAUGAAAUGGACUCCUUAGAUAUGCACAACAAAAAGAUUGCAAACAGAUAACCCUAAUAGAGAGAUAACCCUAAUACAGUUUCUACAACUCUAAAAAAGGCAAUUAAUAAAUUCCUAAGAUCAAUAAGCAAACGGGAUUUUCCAUAUAAGGAAAAGAAAUGGUUUGCAAAGUUAGCAUUUUAAGAAAACAUCAAAUUCUCUAGAACAACUAUUGCAAUGACAUAAAAUACAGAGAGUGAUAACGUCCACAACACUUUUAAACAAAUAUUGUCAACACUCAAUCUCUAGCCUUCGUAUUUAACCAAAUUUAAUAAACCUUGACAAUUACAACCCAACGAAAAUCAAAAGGCUAAUCCUACUUCUUUUUCAAGCUUGACUAAUUCUAGUCUUACCAUAGAAUGAUGGAAAUUAUGAACCAAAAUCCAUAUGUUAAGUAUUAUAAUUUGGAAAUUGUUUUAUCUUUGAGAUCAUAGGAUUGGUUGGUUGAAUUCUCUUAAUCUUAAAAAAAAAAAAAAAUCAAAAGACAAAAACGAAUAAAAUUCAACUUUUAAUUUUAAGUUUUAAAUUAAAUAAUUUAAAACGUCAAAAUAUGUAUAUACCUAUAUGAUGAUUUAAAAUAUCGUAGCGUGUCACGGCAUAUUUCAUUCAAGUAAUUGCCAACACAAAUUUUAAUUCAUUGGUUGAGCUUUAAGAAUGAAAUUUCAAAUAAUAUGCAAAUUUAAUUACACACCUCUACUUAGUUUUCUUAGGCUAUGCCAUUGAACAUAUCAAAGACAUGUUUGUUGGCAAUUAUUGGUCACUAAAAUAAUAACAUCUAUAAAACCUUCAUAUAUUAGGAAAAUUUGAAAAUAUUUAAUUAGUAUGCAAGUUGUCAAAAGAAGAAAGAAAGAAAAAGAGAAUAAUAUGUAGUUUUGUUUGUCUAAUUAAUUUGACUUAGCUCAAAUAAUUGAGAGAGUGUUUGCUUGUUGGGUUUGAUUCUUUCAAUUAAUCUCUUGGAAAACGAAUUAAUUAUACAAGCGGCUAAUUUGUCAUCAUCAAUGUAAUUAUAAAUAAUUAAUUAAGCUAACAACAAUUUGGCAUUAACAAUGACCACAUCAAUGUGAACCCUUUUAAUUUAUAAUCUUUUUUUAGUUAAUAAUUGUGACGGACAUCAUCCAACUAUUGACCUUUUAAAUCUCUUAUUUACUAUAUUAUAUACUUGAAUUUACUUCAUUUAAUCUAUGAUUGUUUAUUGAUUAGGUUAAAUAAGUUCGUUUAAAUUUGUAUUUAUUGAGAUGAGAUGAGUGCUUUCAUAGUUCAACAUUUACCAAAUAUUGUUAGCUAAUUCUAAGAAAAAUCAAAAUAUAUGUAAUUCAAAUUCUCUUUUAAAUGAUCGAUAUUUAAUUAUAGUUAUUUUUAGGUGCUCCUAUGAUUUAUUAUUACCUAUGCAUAUAUAUAUAUACACUACAAGGAUAUUGUAUCAAGUUUUAGUAAAAUGAUUUGAGUGAAGAGAGUAACGUGUAUACAUGAUCGACUUUGUUUCUUAAUUUUGUAUAGAACCAAAUCAAAUUAUAAAAGAAAAGAGAGAGAAUGGUAGGAAAAUAUUAGAAGCAGAAUAAUUUUUGAAAAACUUAUGCUUGGAGGACCAUAAGGUAGGGAGAUUGCAUAUGUUCUCCCAACGAUCAAUCAGAAUAUUUUAAUGCACCACAAAUUUUUUUUUAUUAAAUACGAAUUAUUAUUAGUUAUUAUAUUGCUAGUAGAUUUUCUUAGAGGAAAGUAUAUAUUUAUUUAAUAGCAUUAAUAAACAUAGUUUAUAAAAAUAAUUUGUCGUAUAACUAAUAAUGAAGGUCAUCCUUCUUGUACAACUUAUUUUCUAACUCAUAUCAACAAUAAUAACAAUAAUAUUUGGAGGGUGAAAAUUUAAACAAUGAAAAAUAAAAUAAAAUAAAAAACACAUCAUAUCACUUUUGGGGACUCUUUUUCUAAUAUUAAAUUAUUAUAUAAAGUUAAAUAUAUCCAUUUAUUCUAUAUAUAUGUUUAAAUAAAUGGAUAACAAAUAAAGAAAUUAAAAAGGCAGAAAAACUAUUUCAUAGAUAUUAAAUUAUAUCAAAGUAACACAAUGUAAUCUCCUUUUCUUUUUCAUUAACAAUAAAUUAAAAAACAGUGUAAUAUAUAUCUGAAAAUUUUAUAAUAUAUGAUUGACAUGAGAGGAUUAAGUAGAUUAUUAUAACUUCUUUAUUUAAUAUAUGGUCAAAAUAUGUGUUUAAUUUAUGUAAAUCAUUAGAUUAGGGAAGGUGAUUAUAUUAUUUAAUUAAUUAAUUUUCUUUUCCAAUAAAAGUUGUAGGGAUCCCAGUAAAUCCUCAUAGAUAUUGUAAAAUACUAAGAUUUGUGUUAGAUAUUCUUUUAUAUUAAUCUUCACUUAAAUUAACAUAUGAUAGGACUAUAAUUUAAAUGUCAAAAGGUACACACAUUAACAAAUAAAUAAACACUUGAGAAUUACAUCACUCCAUUGCCCAAUUGAUAUUUAUAACUAAAGUUACCUUUUCUUGUCCUUGUAAAUAAUUGAGAAUAAGUUACUUUAUGGGUUAAAUUAUAUAUUGUGUGCUUUUAUAAUAAAAUAAUAAUACUAAGAAAAUAUUAUAUAUUUUAAAUAUCGUAGAUUAAAAUAAGCUAAUUUCUCUAACUCGUGGUUUUAACUGACUUUUUUUUUUCAAAUUUGUUAUAAUAUUAUGUUAUGAAAUCAAAAAUUAAGAAAUAAAAAAAACGUAUAGAAAUCGAGUGAGAACAAUAUUAUAAGUAAUUUUUAUACGAUCAUUUUAACGUCGUUAUGUCCUACAAAAUUUAAUAAAUGAUUAUAUCCAUGAUUCUAGACAAGUCUAGUAUGAAAGCUCUAACAAUACUCAUAUAGUCCAAUGUGAAAAUAGUUGCUCCCAUAGUGUGCUAUCAAUAUGUUAACUAAUAUUUUAUUUCAUAGAGAUGCCUUUCUAAUUUUGUAAUCAAUGUGUUCUUCUUUGGAAAAGUCAUACGAUAUUUAAUUAGAAAAAAUACAAUAGGUUAAUGUCUCUUUCUUGGUCAAUAUUAUUUUACUUUAGGUUUUUGUUUAGAAAUUUAAACCCAUAAGUAUUCAUUCAACCUCCAAAUUUCAUACUUUACUAUUAUUCUUUUAUCUAUAUUUUAAAAAUUUUAGUUAAAUUUUGAAAACUAGAGUCAUUAUAAAAAUUUUAAAAAAUAAAGACUUAUGGUAUAGUUAGUGAGAAGAGUAAACUUCAUCAAAUUGUAAUUUGUUUUUGUUUUCCAACCAUUCCCCCAACUUGUGUUGAUGAUUUGAUAUGGAAGAGGUGAUAAUGUUGGUAAGUGUUGAUUGACUUCAAUUAAAUUAUUUAGAAAGAAAUGCAAUAACUUUAUAAUAUUCUUCAAGCAGCCAAAUUAGCCAAAAAAAAAAAAAAAAAAUUCAAAGUUCAAACCCAUAUUAAAUUCCAACAACAACAAUAAUUGUAAUUCACACUAUUUUCUCAUUGUUGGCUUCCAUUUUCAACAAAUUAGAAAAUGUGCAAUUUUUUAGAAACUUCUGUUAUCAACUUGCCAUCUUUGGAAAUUCAUAGUCUUAAUUUUGAAUUAAGGAGAAUUAUGCAUUCAAAUGACCAAAAGUCUCUCAUUUCUUAAACCAUUUGGCUUAUUACAAAGAAAACAAUGGCCCCUUUAAGCCAUCAUUUUGAUCCAUAUUCUAUUCAAUUCACCUAAACAAAAACCAUUUCUUCAACCAAUUAUAGGCAACAAGUUAAAGCUAGCCAAGUUGGGGUGGCUUAUCAAACUUUUCUAUCUGCUUUCUCCAACAACUUGCAAUCUCAACCAUUUUGAAAAAAUCCAACCAAAAUCCUCUUCUAAAUUAAACGAAACAUACAAAAAGAGUCGAAAGAAAAGAAAACGUACUCACAUAUGUUCUCUCUCCAAUUCUAUUCAUCAUUAUCUUGUAUUUUUUUGAAGCUUUCUGCUCAGUUUUUAUAGAAUGUUACAUUUUAAAAAAUACUUUUAAUUCGAGAUAAUAGUAUUACAACUCUUUUACCUUAUGAUAAAAAAUGCACAUUAUUUUCUACCCACGUUAAUAGACAGAACUACAAACUUUACAACUUUUGUAUGAACAAUAUUUCGAGCAUUUGUUUAUAUUAAUAUAAUAGGAUAUUUUGUUUAUAUAUAUUAUAUAAUAGGAUUCAACCAAGUAGGAGACAAAUUUAAUCUUUCUCUCUCAAGCAAUAAUAUUAUAAUGAUUAUUGUUACAAAGUAUAAACAUUUAAAUUUUAUGCUUUACUAAAAAAUAAAUGGUUAUAUUUUGUACUACUUAGUGUAUUUGUCAAAUUUUCUUUUCGAAUUUCUUUGAAGUUUUGAUAUUAUUUAUAUGUAUAUAUUAUAUAUAUAUAUAUAUUUCCAUCAACUUACUUUGAUUAAUUAUGAACAAGAAAGAUUGUAUAGUUUUUUUUUUCCUGAAAAAGAAAUAUUUUGUUAUUGUGGUGGCUAGUUGUUUGUCAACUUAAUAAUAUAUUCAAAAUGAGUCUAUUUUCUCUAAACACAAUCUAUUUUGUGUUAGGUAAGUUAUGGGUCAAGUCAUAAUGAAGAAUAAGUUGAUAUGCAUAAUUCAAUUUUAUGGAUACACAUGUCUUGAUCAUUCAUUUUAUAAAACUGAAGUAUUUCUAACUUGGAUAAUUAAUAAUAAAUGUACUUUAUUUAUUUUGAAUCCAUUUAGGACCAAUAUAGAAAAGCUUAAUUAAUUACCCAAAAUAAUAAGAAUAUACAUGAAACUAUAUUAAAGCUAAGAGUUCAAGAUGAAAAAUAAUAAUAAAAUUUAAUAAGGUAUUCGUUUUUGUGUCUCCUUAAUUAUAAUUUUUUCUAAUUCCAAAAGUUACAUGAAUUGAAGUUAAAUAUAAAUUCAAAUCUUAUCUAUCUCAUUUUAUAAAUUCACGCUACUUAUGUAUAUAUAUAUUGUUUGUUUCAUUUCAGGUAAUCACACUUCUUGUUUAGAGUUUAUAAGUUUCAGUUGUUUUUGUUAUAUGCCAGUGUGUUUUUGUUAAUUGAGUAGUACUGAAAUACUUUAAAUUUGUUAUUUGAUGGUUGGAUGAAAGAUCAAAAUAUGUUGUAUAGGGUUGCAAUGAGAGCUUGGGGAUGAUACUUUAGAAACUUAAUUUGUAUUUGUUUAUGCUGCCAUUUAGAUACAUGUCGUACGAGUAGUUAAUAUUUAGCAUGUUUUUUAUUCAUUUAAUGUACAUUUUUUGGGUUUAAGUAGUUUGAAGGAGCAGAGAAUGACUGUUUUUUUAAGACUUUGUGACUAAGUUAACUAUUUUUUGUAAAUUCAAUAUUUUUUUUUGUUCAUUUUGGUAUGCCAAAAAUGGAAAUAAAUAUAGAUCAUAUAACUUUACAUAAAAAAAAAAAAUUAUGGUUCGUCAUAUUUUUGACAAAGCAUUAAUGGUUGAAAAUAUUUUCAUUCUAAAAUUUAAUUUCUUGUUGCAAUGUUUGAUAUAUUUUUGUUAUACCUAUGAAAUUUAUUAUAUAUGUAAAAAUUAAUCUAGAAGCAUAUAGUAUUAAUAACAAAUGUGAAAAGUUAGAAUAGUUUUUGUCAUGUCUUUCGUGUUGCUAGAAAUAUGUUGGCAAUUAGGAAGGCUCCAACGACAUUUUGUGUUUGGGCAAAAAAGAAACAACUAUCAUUUGUGGCUAACAAUCAAAUUUAUAUCCAAAAAAAGUAUUUGACACAUGUGUGUGUAUAUAUAUAUAUAUAUAUAGACAAAUUUAGCGUGAGAAGAAAUUUUUUUUUGUCGACAAAAAUAUUUUCAUUGGUAGAAACUGUUUCUACCUAUGAAACAAAUGUGGCUAGAAAGCCUAUUUUUGCUGACAUGAUAAUGAUCGUGGGUAAAAAGAUCUUUCUGUCGAUGCUUUUUUUCGUGGGCGAAAAUAUCUUUUCUGCUCAUGAUAAUGAUUGUUUUUGUCAUGAUCGUGAGCAAAAAAGAUAUUUUCGCCCACGAUUUUAAUUGGCGUGGGCAAUUUUAACUUACAUAAUUAUGUCAAAAACGUUGGCAAAGGAAAAGACAAAAGAGUUUUUGUCAUGAAGCGUGCCCACGCAAAAAUAACUUCGGUAGAAGCUCUGCCUCAUAUUUCUUAAGAUGUUCCCACGUUUGUGUGCGUUGACAAAGACCAAAUUUCUUGUAGUGAAACCCUCAACUUUAUUAAUGCCUCAAUUUGUAUUAUAGAUAUGCUAUUUAUCUUUUUAAUAUAACAAAUUGAUCACUCCCAAUGUUUAAUAAUGUAGUUAACAUAUUAUUAGUAAACCACAUAAAUUAUCAUUAAUAAUAAUUUAAAAGUAUAAAAAAGAUUAUUUAAUUAAUAUAAUCAUUGAAAAUGUCGUUAACAUGUCUCAUCGAUGAAAAGCUUAAAAGUCAUCAACAAAGGUUUAAAGACUUUGGCGUUGACAAUCUCGUUUUAUCUCUUUUAUGUCAUUGGCGAACUUAUAAAUAUAUUGAAACAUGAAAAUGUCUAACCGAGAAAAUAAAAUUUAAUACCCUAUAUACGAGUGAAAAAAUUAGGGUUAGAAAAACCGGUUAGAUGGUUGAAAAUAAAAGAUCGAAUAACACCCUUUAAAACUUUCCGAAAUCGAGAAAUUAUCAUUUAGUUUUAGAUAAAAAAAAAAUACAUGUAAUACAACUCUCAAAUCACGGAUUGACCAAAUAAUUUAAGUUAAUAAUAGAAGAUAAGUCUAACGAUAUUAUUUAAUAUAACAAUUUUUAUAAUCUCAUCUGGUUUGAACAAAAAUAAAUUUAAGUUUACAUGUAAAAGCGAAUUUAGUUAUAUCACUUUCAAAAGUUAAACUAUUACUAUUUACUACUAUGAGUCUUAAUCUUACAUUCAUACAUUACUACUGUUAGUAUAUAGAUGAAAACUGUUGAAUGUCGAAAACAUUUUCUUAGUGUAAAGAGAGAAGAAGAGAAAAAAAAGAGUUCCUCGAUAGGACCAAUAGUAGAUAGAGAGAUAAAUGAGAAAUAGAAAUAAAAAAAUAUGUACGAAGGAACACAUCGUCUUCUCUCUGCAAGUUGGAACACCAUUAAUGGAGGAAAAUACAGGCUGUUCCCACAUGAAAUCCAUAAAAACGACAACUCCAUCGUUAUCAUCCACGUGGGUUGCUUUUAAAUUCCACUUUCCUUUCUUUAAACUUUCUUUUAAAAAUAUAUAUCCAACUUAUAUCAAUUGAUAAUAAUGAAUUAAGAUUUUAAACACCAUAGGAAUCUAAUGCCCCACCAUGAUGGGUUUUUAUUUUUUUGUCUUUUUUUGGAACCCACCAGCUUUGAAUGAAACGAGGAACAUUUUUUUUUAUGCUUUUGUUUUUCUGUGUUUCCUCUCUCAGUUUCUUCAGAUUUAAUUAUUUCCAAAGUCAAACUUGUUGAAUAUAUAUAAUUCCCCAUUAGGUAAUUUCAUCCACCCAAUUGCAACAUUUUUCCAAUAUUAAAUCUCCACACGGUUAAGUUUAUUGAUUCAUGAUUGUAUGACAUUUGGAUGAUAUAAAACCAGUACUGAGUUGAAGAGGAAUUUUGAAUCUUGUUUUGUAAGUAGUUAUUGAUAGGAGAAUUACAAAUUAUAGAGAGAAACAAACUCAUAAUUACCAACUCGUUUUACAUAAUAUAUCUCUUUUAGUUAGUUCAUUAUUCUACUUUGUACGUAGAAAAUUAAAAAAGAGUUGAUAAAUAAAACGUACAAAAACAAGCAAUAAAAUGUUAUUAAUAGUAAUUUAAAACUAUAAAAGAAUGUUAUUUAUUAAUACAAAUAUUUUUUAAAAAAAUAUUUAAAGAAAUAACCAUUAAAUAUGGAUAUUGUAUUGAUAUCUUCGUUAAUAUUUAUAUAAAAUUGAAACUGUGACGUUUUCUUUAACCCUUCCUAGUACAUUAAAACAUUGGUUGAUGGGAUGGAAAAAACUAUUGCACCAAAACAAGCAAAUAGGAGACUUGGUAACAUUUUUUUGUACCUUUUACUAAUCAUUUUUACCCUAAGAGAAAAAAAAAAGCAAUUUCUUUUGGAUAGUAUAUACAUUUUGGACGUCUCUAGUACUCUUAUUAUACUCUCUCGUAGACGAGCUAAAGUUAGCUAGAGAUAAACUCGGGGUAAAGAAAAUUAAAAGAAAUUGGAGGGGUAAGCUUUUGAUGCUAAAGAAUUCGUAUGUUUUCAAAACUUUUUUCCAAUUAUAUGAAAUUAAAAUUUAAAAGUUAUUGAAUUGUUUAUCAAGUAUAGGAAAUGAAUAAUAAAAUUUUCUUUAGCAUGUUAAGACUUCAAAGUGUUACUAUUCACAUAAAUUUGAUCUUAUGAGUGUUUAUAUUUGAUUUUUAUUAGGUUCACAGCAUGAAAUUUAUAUUAAAAAUAAAUAAAAAGUAUAAAGCAAAAGAAAAAAUCGACAUAGUUGUUCAUUGAGAUUUAUGUUGCUUCAAAUCCCUACCAACAAAACUUUCGUACUUGGUCCUUUAAAACGUCAUAUAUCAUAUUUAAAUCAUUCUAACAAGUGUUCACGUAAAAAUACUCUUUCUAGUAGGAAAUGCAUUCAAAAACUAAAUAUUACAUUACAAGAAUAACCAUAUUUUAUUCUCAAAUUUGAUAGAACAUAUUGAGACACAAUUUAAGAUGUCAUAUCAAUUUUUUUGUCCAGAUCACGAGGAAUUAUAGAAUUUUGCACCAAAGAUAGAAGUUUAAGAAUUUAGGAGGGUAAAAAAAAAGCAAUGAAGUAUGGGGAUAGAAGUUAAUUGAUUGUCAUAUUGCUAAGGAGACAAUGCAUAGUUGUAAAAGUGGCUUCCAACAAAGAGACACACAACAAAGCAAAAUGAAAAAACCAAAUGUAUAUAACAAAAUUUUCUUUUUGGACAUCACAUGGCUGCUCCCUUCAUAUCACCCUCCUCCUCUCAUGCAUGCACAUUAUUAUUUCUUUCCUUUCAUUUAAAUAUUAUUUUGUUUGUAUAUUCUUCAUUUUCAUCUACUAAUAUCCUAUACUUUUAACUUUGGUUCAUUUUAUAAAUGGUAAAAUUUAGAUAUUUGUUUAAGAAAACGAAAUUAAAAACAUCUAUAUUGAUAUAUGUAAUUUUAAAACCACGAUACUUCUUUUUCGUAUCUUUACCUUUUCAUUUAUUGAAUUUCUUAAAAUGUAACUAUCAAUUUCUAUUAUAUAUAGUAUUUUCAUAACGUUAUGAAUAAUAAAGACUCAAAUUGUCACUUUUAAAGGUACAAGGACUCAAAUGUGUACUUUUUUUUUAAAGUACAAUAUCUUAGUGAAAAUGAUCCUAUAAAUAUCUCUCCAUAUAACGGUACAAUAUAUUGUCAUUUUAGGCAUAUAUAAAUCCUCGUGACUUUGUUUUUUGUUUCAUUUAUAUUGUCAUAAUCGUCAUCUUUUCUAACCGAUACGAGACUUUGACUCCACUCCUAGCUAGCACAAUAAGGUAACCUUAUAAUAGAAACAUUUUCAAAGUUCAUAAACCAAAAUCAUCAAUCAUGGCCGUUAAAAUAUGUAAACCCUAUAUAUAUAUAUAUACCCUCUCUCUGGUCUUUUGCUUUUCCCAACAUUUUUCCAUUCGAUGGCCUUUUCAAUAAACUAUUACAUUUCUCCUUCUAGGGUUACAAAAAGACUAGAGAUUAUUCCUUUCUUAAGAUAGUCAUUUGGAGUAAUGAUGACCAUCUAAAACCUUUCCUUUUUAUGAAUAUAAUAUAUAUAUAUAUAUAUAAAUAGAUUUCUAAACUUUCUUAGUUGGUAAGAAAUCCAGAAAGGAGAGUUGUAUUGUUUCUUUCAAAUGACUUAAACUUUUAAUGUUCUUCUAAGUUUUGGAUGUCUAUGUUCUAUUGGUGUUUAUGGAUAUUGGAAAUUGUUUAGACACAAAAUAUGCAAUAUAUUUACAAAAAUUCUACAAACCCAUUCCAAAUUAUAUAGUUUUUGAAAACAAAUUUGAAAAAAAAAACAACUAAAAUGAUGAGACAGUACCAAACUCUAGCUUAAAUAUUUAACAUAAUUUUCCAUCUUUUUCCAUUUCAAUUUAAUACAACCUAAGAAUUUUAGGCAUUGAAUUGCUCCUAUGCUAAUAGACAAAAUUCACCAUAUUUAAUCAUUAAUACUAAAAACUUUGAUCAUUUCAUCUAUCCAUAAUAUAAUAAAAAUUUUCCUUUUCCACCUCAAUAGUUUUAUUUGAAGUGUUCAAAAUAAAUGGAAAAUUAUUUCAAAUAACAAAGCUGACGAAAAUAUUAUAAAUAUAGCAAAAUUUUAGAAUCUCAUAUUGAAUUUUUUUUAUAUUAGUAAACAAUUUAGUUUAUUAUAUUUUUGAAACCAUUCCUAAAAAAAAUGUUUGAAGAUCAUCAUGUUUGAAGUUUUAAUAGAGGAAAAUGUAAAUUUGGUAAGUAGUCCUCAAGUGGGGUUUUGGGCCUCAACAUUUUGGACUUUGGAGUCUCUAAAACUAAGUCAAAAUCAACCCAUCCUCAUCACUUAGGGGAGAGAGAGCCCAUUCCAUCUGCCACAACCAAGUAUUCAAUGAAAUUUAUAUAUAUAUAAAUGAUAUUUGUGAAACCAAAAGUAAAGGAAGAAGAAUUUUUACCCAAAGUAACAAUAUAUGAGAAUACAUUUGUGGUAAUACUGUUUUUUUUUGUCCCAAAUAAGUGAUAUUAUUAGAGCUAUAAAUGCUUUUGACUUAGUCGAUUGAAUACUCUGAGUAUUGAACGAAAGGACUUCUGAGCCCAAAAUAAAAUAUUGAAGAGAUGGAGAGUUGUUAGAAAUUAAAUUAUUUUUAUUAGAAAACUUUUAAUCAAUUUUAUUUUCUUUUACAAAAUCAAACAAUCAAGCAAUAAAAAAAAGUAUAGAAAUCGACAUAGAUUACAUAUAUGGUUCAGUUAGCUACAUGUCCAUGAGAAUAGAGAAAAAACAAUUUUAUUAGAGAAAUUUUUUUAGAAUAUAAUACACUAUACUUUAGAGAGUAUAUAUAUUGCACUUCUCUAAAUUCUAUUGUUAAAUUCGUAAAUAACUCAUAAGUAAGUACCUAUGCUCAAUUACGAACACUAAAGAUCUUUGUAUUUAGGUUGUUUGUUGUGCCAACCGUUCAUAUAUCGAGUUAGUGUCGAGAAGGGUUUUGUUUUUUUUCAAAAGAAAAGAUCAAUAUGAGCCCAAGCAAUAUAUUGAAAAUAUUUUUUAUAAGAUUUGGGAUGAGUUUAUGUAAACUUUGGAGAUGAAUUGUUGUUGUCAAUGUGAACAACUUUUAAAUGUAUAGAGAAAAUUCGAUAUGAAUAAAUCAUUAUUUAUCUUUUUCUACUUUUAAAGAUUUAAGCAACCUGAUAUGAAAAAAAAAAUUGAUUGGGUCACUAUUUUUUUCAAAUUUAUUCUAUAAUUUAUCAUUUUUUUACUGUAUUUGCAUUUCAUACGUUCUCCUGCAUAUUUGACAACAUAGUCUUCCAUCGAAUCAAAAUCAAUUUAUAAUGAGUUGAAUAACUUUUAUAUCUUAUAAAAGAUUGUGAAAUCUCUUUUUUCUCUUCUCAAUCAAUAAUCAAUGCGUAUGAUAUUCAAUAUUUUUUUCAACACUACCAGAAGAAGAAGGAUCCUUGGUGGGUGCUCUAGAAUAUUGAUCUCAACUAAGUUGACACCUGCUUAACACAUUUAUCAUCACCAUGCUCUAAACAGCCCAAAAGUACAUGAUUUUAUUCAAAUAUAUAAGAGAUACAAACAGUGUCUAAUAGUAUGAUUCAAGCAAAACAAAAAAUGAAGAAAAUAUGGAAGAAUUUUUAGUACCAAGAGGCCAAUUAAGUUUAAUAUGCCCAUUCCCCAAAUUGAGAAAGGAUUUCUCCAAAGAGUUAAAAUGUUGUAUUGUUUUGUUUCCAGCCACAAACACCAGAGAGAGACACCAGUGAGGUUGCUACAUAUGAAUAGAUUCAAGAGGUCUAUGUAUAAAUGUAUAUGUUAAUAUGAACAUAUUAUUUUAGAUCAAACGUAAGAUAGCAAUAAAUAACCAAAGUGGUGGUUGUGUUUAAGUUCAUGAAUAACCUAGAGAUAUACAUUUGAAAGAUGAUAAACAUGAAUGGUCGAAGAACUUGAAAACAAAUCAUUUAAAAGUUUAUCAACUAAAAUAGAACAAACUCACAAAUUUAGGGACAAUUAAAAUGAAAACUAUAAAAAGAAUUACUACUAUAUUUUCAAGUCAGCUCAUUUGAGCUCAUAAAAUGUUUUCAAUCUUUAAAUUUUAUUCGACUAAUUCAAAUUUCAUCAAAGUUGUUCAACUUCAUAACCGUUUAAAAUGGUUAACGAAGGUAUAUGAUGAAGUCUCGUUUUUCAAUCCUAGAAAGAAUCUUACACCAAAAGGCAUCAAGUUAAUCAAUCUUACACCAAAAGGCAUCAAGUUAAGCAAUGUAAAACAAAAGCUACCUAGCUAUCUCAUGUCAAAACCCUUUUUUUCUUUUAGUUAAAACCCCUUCUUUGUUCAACAUCAAUUGUAAAUAAUAGAGAGCAGAUGUUUUUGGGGUUGGCACUUUGUCUCCACUCUUCCCCCAAUUAUGCCAAAAGCCCAUUCCCUUCCCUUUUAACCUAUUAUUCCUCCAUUUCCCAUCCCUUUCAAACUCUCACCUCCCAUCUUAAAUGUUAUCUACCCGCUAAACUCAACUCAUCUCAACUACCUUCCAAUUAUUCUCGCUCGACAACGUUUCUCGCUCGACAACGUAACUAUUGGUGCUACCGAAAUGUGGAAUCCUAACCAAGCUCAUCAAGACGAGGAUGAUGAUUCAUGGGAGAUUAGAGCUUUUGCAGAAGACACCGGAAACAUUAUGGGCACAACUUGGCCCCCUAGGUUUUAUAAUUGCACAUUUUGCGGACGAGAAUUUAGAUCUGCCCAAGCCCUAGGUGGUCACAUGAAUGUCCACCGUCGCGACCGUGUACGUUUCCAUCACCAAAUCCAACCCAACUCAAUUCAACCCAUCUCACCGUCUUUCACCAUCCCUACCCCUAAACUCAUCUACAAUGAAAUUGACGAGGUUUGUUUCUUAUACCAACUACCGAACGACAACAUCAAUUUCCUCAACUCCAUCACUUCAUCAGAUUCAUGUCUCCAGUCAUCCUUCACUGCACAACAUCCUUCGAGCACUCGAACCGCGUCGUCCUUGCAAUCCCUAAAGUCUCCAGGAGAGCUUCGAGGUGGAACGUCGAGCUCCUCGUCUCACUGCAGCCACAUAUCUAGCAAAGGAGAUGACUCAUUAAUAUCAAUUAAUGAUGGAAAUGAGAAGGUGGAUCUUGAGUUAAGACUUGGUCAUAGGGCAUCUCCAACUUGAGAAUCAAAGGAAGAGAGAGAUUGAUCAUGAAGUGGAAAUAGUUAAAAACUAGCCCCCUUUAAGUUUUAUCAUGAAGAAGUAAUGGUAAGAACUAAUUAGAAGAGAGAUGAGAGGAGGGAAAGUGUAAAAUUAGGGUUUUAAAGAAAGACAAGGCAAAAGCUAGCAAAUCAGUGAAAUGUCAUUUUCAGUUUGCAUAGAUUUCUGAGUAAUUGAAAAGCUUUAAUUUCUCUGGGCAUUUAUCUCCAUGGGGAUUGUUCUAUAUGACAAACAAACCAUUUUUCUGUCCCUCUUCUUUGUACAAACUACAAAACUACCAUCAAAACAUUACUUAUUAGAUGACCUACUGUUUUAUUUUGCCCUAUACUAAAAUAUUGUAUUUUUUUCCCUCCUACUGAUUAUCAUAACAAUGAUGUGCCUAACAAAUCCCAUCAACUCAACUUAAAUAACUUCAAACCUUUAAAACUCGUUUAGUAACCAUUUUAUUUGUUGUUUUUGAAAAUUAAGGUUAUAAAACAUACUCAUUUGAUAAUCUUUAAAUUUAUUUCUUUGUUAUCUAUUUGUUAUCAAUAUUUCAAAAACCAAGUCAUUUUGAAAACUAAAGGAUAGUAGUGGCAGUUUUUUAUUUAACAAAUAUGAAGGUAUCUUAAAAUGGGUUAACAUACCUUAACACCCUCGUCAUCAAACCCCAGAAACCAAAGUACUUGUAUGGAUAAUAAUAGAAUAGUAACAAAAUGAAGAGUUUGGGAGAAGUUUAAAAGUUCAGAUUAACAGAGACAACAAUAGUCUAGAGAAAAACCAUCCAACGUGAUAGAAGUAAUAUCAUAGUUUUAAAAAAUUUAAAAAAAUAUAGGUGAUUUAAGGGCAUCUAAAUAUAGAGUAUCUUCCCAACAGUUGCAAUUCGAAACUUGCCACAUUCAUUGAAAAGUUCAAUCUUUGCAUUCCAGCCCGAGGCAUCACAGACACGAUGCAAAAAUCAAAUUUCAUGGAACAAUAUUUGUUAUAAAGCCUUGAAUCUGUUGUAUCUUGCUUUGAAGAACCAAGUACACAAGGGCUUUUUUAUCAGUAAAUUAUGUUUAUAAUCCUAGGAUUUAAAGAAUGUACCGUGAACGUAUUGUAUACUAAGCUUUAGAGGCUCAUCAUUCUAUAUCUUAUAACAUUCUCCCUAAUAAAAUUGUUCAAUCCUUACCAGUAAAGGUAGCUAACAUAUUGUAAUUAGUAAACUAAGUAAAUCAAUUCUCCACGUUAUUUUACAUUUCUAUAUUCUUUAUAUAUUUGUCAAUUUCGUACCUACUUACAGUGGAUCUCAAUUUUUUUUCUAAAAAUACCAAAUUAGUAAGUUUUCUAAAAAAAAUUGUUUUGGUAUUUGAAAUUUGGUUAAUAAUUUGACUCUGUUACUUGAAAAAAUUGCAAAUCUUUGUAAGAAAUUAAGGGAAUGAGGCUUUAUUUAAACUUUUUUAAAACAAACAAGAAAAACAUUGUUGUAAUCCCUCCAAAUCAGUGCUCUAAAUCUAGUCAUUUUGUGAUUACGACAUCUCUACUAUUCUGGCGAGCUUUUUUCUAGUUCUUUCUUUCUAUUACUUUUGUACUCUUGACUUAUUUUCAUGUAUGGAAUCAACCGUUGAGCUUUAAGUAUAUAUAUGAUGAGAACAACUUAGUUUGAGAUAUUUGGAUACCAUCUAUUGAUGAUCUCUUAUUUUUUUCUGCUUUCUAUUGUUAAAAGAAUUCAAAGUUUAAAAACCAAAAAUAAAUUAAAAUAUUUACCUAACGAGAUUUUAGAUUAUAGUUAUCCAACCCCUUUGUUUUUGUAGGGUAAGUUUGCAAGAGAGAGUUACAAAUACAACACAUAAAACAUUGAUUAGAAGUAGACAUAAAAUCCUUAAAUGUGAUAAAGUUUAACUAAUCACUUGAAAAUGAAAAGAAGAAGACAAAACAAAACAAAAUUAUUUGAUUAAUUCCUUUAGCUAUUCUACACACAAUCACAUGAUAUUAUAUAUAUUUGUAUUGUGUGUGUAUGAAUUGACAUAAGAGAGACUUGUUUUGUUGGUCCCCUAUUGAUCUGCAUAAUCUCUGCAUCCUUUUUUCAAUCUCUUGUGAUGAUAUGAUUGUGACUUUAAGGAUCCUAACAACCAUGAAUUUACAAAAACCCUAAGAUUCUCAUCCCCUAACAAAAACAUUCAACUUAUCCUCAUUUCAAGAUAGUUUCUAUUGUUUCUUUGGAAGUAUAUUGUUCACAAAUUCAAAUUAUUUUGUUUGGUAUGAUCAUUAUGAAGAGUAGCUUUCAAAAAGAAAAAAUACUUGAUAUGUAUUUUGUGGUAAGAAAUAUGUAGCAUGCGAUAAAUUUUCAUUUUAGAAAAAACAAUCAUUACUAGUUAUUUACAUUGUUUAUCAAUAGUAUAUCGAUAAAUAAAUAAAUAAAUAAAUAAAUAUAUAUAUAUAUAUAUAUAUAUAUAUAUAUAUAUAUAUAUAUAAUAUAUAUAUAUAUAUAUAUAUAUAUACCUUGGAAUCUGGUCUAAUAAUUUUUGCAAUCUUAUUGGCUUAUUGUAAAUUGUGGAUUAUUGUAUUAAAAAGUAUUUUUAGUUACAUGCAUCCAUGUGUCCAAAUUUUUAUUUACCUGUCUUCAUGUUUUUUUUAACACGUGCAUGUUCACUUGAGGUUUGCGGAGAAACGUAAUUCGUAAAGUUGAAAUUUUGUUGAUGCAAUAUGGUAUGUUCUUUAGGAUUUGAUCUCUUAUUUUAUAUCGGUUGAGGCAAAGAUGUUCUUGGAGUUGGAGUUUUAUAAUAAAUAUUAGGUCAUAUUUGAGAUCCAUGGGCUUUAUAGGAUUGGGUUUUGUUGGUCCAUAGAUCAUACUCAUGGUUUCUACCAAUUUGAGUCAUAUUUAACACUCGAGCUAAAUUAAGUUUUUUUUCUCAAUUGAACUUUAGCUCAAAUAAAUAAUAUUUAAUUAAACCAAAAUAAUUAAUUUGAUCCAACGGUCAUGAUGAAAAUACGUGGCAUCAUCAUAAAUUCAAUUAUUUGUAUUUCAAUGUUGAUUUGGUAAAUGACUGACAAUUUAUGGUUUGUUCAAAACUUCUCAUUCAACUAAUGAAAAAUAUAUACACCCAAUUGUCCAUUUGAUUGACGUAGAGUAAUUGUGUCCAACUUUCAUUACUGCAUUCCUUUCUAGUGAAGAAGAGGGGUCUUCUAAUUCUUCUUUAAUAUUUAUUGAUCUUUUAAAAAAAUUGUGAACGAAAAAUAGAAGAAAAAAAUCUAUUUUUUUUUGUUUUUAAACAAAAACGAAAAAUAGUUCACAAAGGAAUAUGAAUUUUAUUGUUAAAAACACAACAAAAGAAAAUGAAAAACCAAAAAACUAAAAUAAUUAUUGAAUGAUGUCUAAAAGUUUAGAUUUUUAAGUUAGUAAAUUUUGGUUUGGAUUUUUAAAAAUGGUUCACAUAAAAAGAUUGAUAAUGUUAAAAAGAAAAUUUUAAAUAUGAAUCCAAUAAAUGUAUUAUAAAAGAUGAAUCUCUAAUCUCUAGAAACAGAAAUGAUGUGGAUGUAUACCAUGGAGAAAAACUUACUUUGUUAUAUAUUUUCUUUUACAACAUACAGAAAGUAGAGGAAUCGAACAUCUAACUUUAAAAUUGAUAUUAUAAAUAUUAUACCAAUUGAAUUACGUUCACUUUCGUAGAGUUAAAAAAAAAAAAGAAAAGAUAGAAAUGAAGUUUAUUUUCGAAUAAAUGAAAGGCAAAUGGAAAGAGAAAGCAAGAAGAAAGAGUGAAUGAGAUAGUUGGAAAAAGGCAAAUAAGUAGUGGGAAGGCUUAGGUCAAUAUCAAUGUAUGGCUCUCACACUCACUUCAACUUCCAACUCUUCAAAUCAUUAAUCAUUUUUUUUACUCUAUUUCUUUCAUCAUUAUCCUUCCUCUUCUUUCCUCUUCUUUUCUUCUUUUUCCCUUUAUAUCUAAUAUCUUUCAAACACUCAUCAUUUCCAAUUUUGGUUAUGAUCUUCAAAUUCAUAUGUUGUGGGUGAGAACUUUUUCUUCAAUACCAAAUUUCAUUAAGAGACCGAUACAAUUAGGUAUAGUAAUACCUUUCAUUAAACAUAGUUACAUGGUAAUAUUUUACUACACUACUUUCUCUUCAUUUAUUAUGUGUCACAUCAAUAGUGAUAUUAAUGUAGGAUAUACUAACAUGAGUAAAAGCAAAUUUAUAGUGUGAACAAAGUGAGUAUGGUACUCAAGUAGUAUUAUAAUUUUUUUCAUUGAGGACGGCUCAUGUUUGUUACAAUUUAAAAAAUAGUUUAACGAAAAACUGUGGAAUGAAAGGAAAAUCAUUUGCAACUCAAGCAAGGAGUGAGUCGAUUUGUUAUAAUCUGUUACAUUUCAAAAAAAAAUUCAUCUCACUAUGGUAGCAAGCUCGCAAAAAUUGUUUCCACGGUGAUUUUGUUUGAGGUAUAGAAAUUUGUGUGGUUGAGUACGUUUAAAAUAUCUCGAUAAUAUAAUUAAUUUAGUUGAGAGGGGUGGAUGAGGGUCUUUAGGUUUUGUUGCUUCGUUGCUUGUUUAGUACAUUUAAUAUAUCUCAACCAAUCUGAAUUGUGCACAAGAGGUCAACAAUCAUCCACCUUUUGAUAUAUGAAUUUUGUUUUGGUCAUAUCUCUAUCGAUAAUAAUUUGUUUUAGUUAAAUAACCGUCCAAUGAUUUUAGAACUCCAAAAAUAAAUCUCUAAUUUAAAAGGUUGACUUUAAUACAUUAAAAAAAAACUUUAACUUCAAUUCUCCAAAUUAAAAAUUUUCUAAGUUAAAAAGUUGCAAGGCCAUUUAUUUAUAUUCGUUUUUCUUUUAGAAAAAAAAAAUUAUUCCUUUUUAUUCAUGGUUGGAAAGGACACCAAAAAACGUAGUUAGUGGUAGUUUGAGACAAACAGAAAAUUAUAUUAACAGAGAUAUAACAUAAACAACAUUGCAAAGCGAGAGUUGUAUAAUCACACGCAUAAAAUUAACGAUCACACAUACGACACUUCGUUGUUGCUCAAACGAUAGCUUCACUUUGAUAAUAUCUUCGUCAAUACAACUCUGUUUUAACUAAAUGACCACUUAUUUUCAUACGUUAUUUUAGUGUUCUUUUCAACCAUACUUAUAAAUUUAGAAAAAUGUGAAAGCAUCGUUACUAUCAUUACGGUCGAGGGGACUUCACAAAUUUCUUAAAACUUUGAUACUUUUGGUAUAUAAUGUUUUGGUAAUAAGAAAAAACAAAGAUAGAGAAAACUGAAAAAGUGAGAAAAAGUUCAUUUAAAACUGAGGACAAAAUGGGCAUUGCACAUCUUAAAAGGUUAAAGAAGAAGAAAUAUGUUUUCAACAAAUAGGUAAAUUACAUAGGAUGGGUAGUUUGGGCCACCUUUUUACAUUUGGUUGUAUAUUCACAUUAAAAGCUAUAUAACUCAUUCCAUAAACAAUGAUAUAACUAGUAAUUUUAAUACUAUUAUUCUUCUUCCUCCCAUGCUCAAAAAAUAGUAAUAAAUAAAACUACUAUUUUAUUGGACAUUUUAUGGCUUUUCUAUAUACAUUAAUGAAUUCAAAUUACUACAUUUCAAGAUGAUUUACAUUGAGUUAUAAUUCUCUUAUAUUUUCCAUCACCUUCUUAGGAUAAAAACCAAAUAUCCAAAAAUGUCCUCACUAUCUAUAAGUAUCACUACAAUUUGUUUUCAUAUGCACACCUAUAGGUUUAUUUCUUGAUCUAUAUAAUAUAUACUUCCAUUCUUGUAUGGACAUUUUUAUGGUCAAGAUGGAAAAUUUUGGCUCUGCCAAAAAAAUAUAAUUUACAACUUCUUCUUGCUCUCUAUGUAAAGUACUUUUUGUUCCUUCCCUUUCACAAACUAUCUGAGCUUUUACCUUCCAUCUUAACCUGCUGAAUUCUCUGCCGUAGCCUUCUCCGGUGGUCGUGGAUCUUCCAAAGUCCAUGGCCUAGUAUCACGGCGGAGUAUAUACCGUGUGUGAUGAUUGGAGCAAGAAUGUUAUCGGUCUGAAAAUAUCAUGCCAAAAGACAUAGUAAUAUGUGAGUUUCCUGUUUUUUGAAUUUUGUACAUUGUGUAGUUUACUUAGAAAGGUAAGGUCUUACCUGGAUCCAUUCGAAACCGAGGUAGAGAGCAAGGAGUCCUUCAAGGAGGGGAGAGUAGAUCUUUUUCAUUUGUCGUCUCUCGUACCAUGCUGCAAAUGUUUACACAAAAGAUGUUGAGGGUGAGCGAGACCGUCGUUAUCGAUGAAGUGAAAGUAGAAUGUAAUCAAUCAGCACGUGAAGGAUUUUCUAUUUUCACUUUGGCCACCCUCUCAUUUUUCAAGCUUCAGUACUAAUCUAUCUCAUUCGAGAAAAGUGAAGCAAGAAUUCAGCCAGGGAGAAUCAGAUACAUUCAAACGUUGCUUUACAAGUGCAACUUACAGUAGAAAUGAGGAUUAUAAUCGAACCUGCGAAAAGCUUUCUAAGAUCUUUGCGACCUGAUCGAGAUUGCAAAACUGGAGCAACUACAUAAGUAGGAUCUGGAGAAAAAAAAAAAAAAAACGUAUUCAUUAAACUGGAGACAGUCAACCAAACUGAAAAUUGAACAUGUGCAAAUGAUUUGAUGGAAUAUCGACCUUUUGGUGAUGCAGCAACGUAAUAGAGUGAACCGGUAAGCGCAGCUGUGAUAAAAGCUGCAAAUCCUUGUGCAAAUGGUACGAAUGGAGGCAGCACUCCGGUCUAUAAUCAAGAGAGCACGGUACAAAGUUAUAAGAUGAAGAGAAAAACGACGACUACGAGACAAGUGAACAGAUAGAAUUCGUCAUAAUCCACAAAAGGAAUAAUUUUGCAUACCAAAGAUGCCAUUCCUUGAACAUCAGCUCCAAUAUCAGGACUUCUUAAGAAUAUAUCAGCCAAUGCUCCCUAGAAAGUUAAGGGAAUAGAAAUGUUAUUUAGUACUCCUUGAGACUGAAAUUCAAUCAACAUUCAACAAUCGUACGUAUAGAAACUGGUGAAUCAAAGCAAAAAUUUUGAGCAAGAGUAACUGUGGUCGGAGUUGAAGUCAAGGGGACAAAAUGUCUAAAUAUCGGAAGCACAAACCUGAACGGCUGCCCGGUAAAAGAGCUCCUCGCCGACUGAGCUUGCAGCCACGAUAAGAAUGAACUGCAAAAGUUGGAACACAAAAUAAACAAAAACUCUCUCAUCUUGGGCAAACACCAAACUAACAGCUUUUUUUUAUCAGAUAUUCAUCAACAUAACUAGGAGUUCAUUUUACCUGCCAUGGAGACAUUCCGUAAAAGAAGCUUCGAAGCUCCUCGUCUUCGACAUCUCUAAUCGCUCGAGCAUGGGGCGAUAACUUCACAACUUCAUCCUACAAACAAACCCAAGCCUCAUGUGAUUAAUCAUUCGGAAACUAAAGACUUAAACUUAGGUGGCAGGUGCAUCAAAACACAAAAUCUAAUCCACAGCUUCUUUCCAGUUUUGGAAAUUACUUUUCAAAAUCUAAAAGAAUAAACAUACCCUACAUUGUUCAUAGUUUUCACCUCAAAGUUAGAACCAACCGAACAACUAUUGCAAAAACGAAAAUCAUUUCAUCAAAGAACUCAAGACCUACAUCUUGUCUAAAUCCAGUCGAGCAAAAGCAUUUGUUAACUUGGAAAUCAACUCACAUCAAGAAUGAAGAGAAGAGCCAUAAUUGGAGGAACGGCAUAGCCAAGCCCUUCCAAAAUAGCAUCCAAAGAUGGAUGAAAUCCUCCCAUCCAAUCAGUCCCAGAUAUUGAACAUAUAAACUUUCCAGCCAGUGCCAUUGCACCAUAAAUUCCUACAAGAACAGAACAAAAAAAAAACAAACAAACAAACUCAAAAAACAGAUUUCAAUUCUAAUUCCAAAUCCCAUAAAAAAAAAUUGAAAGAAAGUGAAGGAAAAAAAACACCCAGAAAGCUAAAUCUCAAAAGGAAAACAUUUUGACUCACCAACUCCAUAGCUGAGUCUGACAACAGCACCAAUCUUUUCCCAAACAGGAAACUCUGUUUCUCUGAAACUAGUAUCAAGUGUCGUCACCUCCAUAGCCGGAGCAGUGAACCGGCUACGUGUCUGCCCCUCAUCCAAUCUCUCACUCCUCGGCUCCGCCGACGCCCUAACGCUGACCGGCACUGGAACUCUCCCGCCGGCACGUUUCCUCAUCGCAAAAUGCAAAAACCUGGAGCUUGAAGUAGAACAGAUCCCAAUUCUAGCACCAAAGGACAUGGUCGAAGUGUUUGAAGAUACAGAGAGAAUAGAGAGCUCCAUUCUUUCUUUCUUUCUUUCUUUCUUUCUUUUCUUUUGGGUUAUCUUCUAAACGGGUCGGAAAUCGGGUUUUUCAGACAGAGAUUUCGGGUCUUUCGGGAGUCCGAAACGGAGAAAACUUCGUCUCCUUCAUUGAACUCAAAAUGGUAAUCUUGUUACGAACCUCAGAAUUUUGUUGACUCAUGGAAUUUCUAAUGGGGAUUAACGAGAGAGAUGAUUUUCCGGGAUUGCUUUUUGGACCGUCCGAUUGACCUGGUGGCAGAUCGGACGGUGAUAAGCUUGAGAUGUGUGGGAUCAGCCAUGAAAGUGAUUUUUUUGAGAAAGCUUAGGAUUUUUUUGCAACAAGGUGAGGAUGUCGGAGGCGAAUCCCCAUUACCCAAUCCAUUCUUGCCACCUGGAGAUAACGUUCUCCUUAAGAUAUUACGUGGAAAUUAUAUUGUGCACUUUUUUAAUAGUUUGUAUAUAUUAUCAAUAUGUGUAAUUAAUAUGCAUGCACUUCUUCCCUUAAUGUGUCCAUGGUUAUGAAGUAUUCACUUAGGUGUCUUAAUGUGUCCAUGGUUAUGAAGUAUUCACUUAGGUCUAAAGUUGUAAGAUGAAGUUAUACUUCAAUUUCAGUAUAGGAUAUAUAGGAACAUUUACGAAAUUAAUUCACAUACUAACUCUACUAAAAAUAUUGAAGAAAUGGUUAAUUUAAAUUAAAAUCAAUUUUUGAAAAGAAAAGUAGUAAACUCUUAUUUCAUACACAAAUUAAUCAUUAAGCAACUCUAUGAAAAUGGAGAAUCUCAACAAAAGCAUUAAGAAAAUAACUCUAAAAUAUGAUUUUUGAUUAAAGUUGCAUCAAUUCUCCAUAAUAAAAAAAAACAUAUAAAUCCAUGUGAAUGUAUUUAUUUUUCACAAUUCUUUAAACAAAAAUUUGUCAAAAAUGUUUAUAAAAUUUUCCAAUAAUCCAAGUUUAAGAUAUUAAAAAAUUACUAAAUUUUGAUUUGUUCCAAUCACAAAAUACCAGAUACUUAUUUA